rnacentral:lncRNA from 1 species
UGCAAUUCCUUCUACCUUAUCUUUUGAGGUGGUGUUAUGUCACUCUUGACAAUUUCAUUCAUGUUUCAUGAUUCAUAUGUUGUCAAGAAUGAGGUAUUUUAAAUCCAUCAUUUUCUCUUUGUUCAAGAGAUCUUUUCGACCAAUCAAUUCUUCUUUGGAGUUAUCUUGGUAUAGAAUUUACCUAAAGCCUUCCCUAAGGAAUGUGUGGUGCUUAUCAAUGAUCCAAGCUUUCUCCAUAUCCUUCUCGGUGAAAGAGGUUUUUCAUCUCUUCAUUGUUCUCAAGCAAGCAAUUGUUUCCGUUAGUGGCUGGUUGUCACCUCAUAAUUUUGGGAUGUUUUCCAUAAGCCCACUACAAGCUUAUUCGUUUUGUUGUUGGUUUUUUCCAACAACUUCAUUAUAACCUUCUUGGAAGGGUGCUUUCUUAGCUCAAUUGUGGCAGAAGUUGGCAUUUUCUUCUUCAUUCUGUUAUUCCAAUGGUCUAUCUUCUAUUCCUUCUUUCUGAGGCAAUGUGAUGUUGCUCUCUUCACCCAUCAUCUUGUUUUGUCAAUAUCAUGUUCUUUUCGUGCUCAUCCAUUUAACCGGAGUGUUGUGUCAUCUCUUCAAGGCUUUCAUCUUAUCAAGUUUUGCCUCUCUUUCCAACCUGAGUGCUGUCUGAAAUCCUUCUUAACCAUUAUGCCAUUCUUUCAAUAGUUCCGGAGGCAGUAUGUUGUUGAUUUCAUCAAGUAUCCUCUCAUCUUGUCAAGUUCAUGUUCUAUUCCUUCCAUGUUCAACCGGAGUGCUGGCCGAAUUCUUCCUCUCUCAUCUGGUUGUAACCGGAGGUUACUAGUGUUCUCUAGAACCAUCGCCGUACUAUCAAUGCAGGGGAAGUACACCUACGUAGUGGCCUAGUGGGUACUCUCGGUGCUCUAUUCAGACGCUCCUCUCACGUAGUUGGCGUACUCAGCAGCUCCUCUCACGCACACACUAGCAGCCUGUUUAUCAGCGACAGUUACUGUAGGGGUAGAACAUUUGAGUUAUUUGAUACAACGAGACUAGGCUUUUCGCUUCCAUUUGUGGAGGUGUAAUGGAUCUCGUCGAACUUUGUUAGUAGUUCCUUCUUUAUGAAUGAGAUGAAGCAAAGCUUUUGCCUCCGUUUCAAAAAAACACGUCAAGAGGAAUUUCUUUUAUAGUAGAGCCGAUAAUGGAGUGAAGUCCAUGCAUGCAACGCCACAAGCUACAGAGUAGUAGUAGAGCACUUUACGUACAGAGCCAUAUUGCACAGUUCCCAAUGCCCCGCCAGGCUUUUCUAGAUCCUCGGGCUUAAUUGGGAGGCGCUAGUUUAAAUAUGCUACUAGCUGGAAGCUGCAAGCGAGGUGCGGCUAGGGCGAGCACGCGAGCUACGGGAUGCUGGGAAGGAAAACCCGUUCACGUGGCUAGGCUGUCCAGUUCACCCAGUUUGUGGGGCCGCAUGUCCGUUUGACUUCAAAACUCAAACUACUCGUGUAAAAUAUUGGCUCGAAGCAAAGUGUAGUAGUACUAUUUUAAAAAAAAGGCCGCCGUGCGUUCGGCCGGGAUCGAACCCACAAAAUGAGGUAGACACUCCCGCGACCACUAGUAGUACUCGUUGGAGUACAAUGCAACCUAGAAUCGCCUUUUGUCGCUAGUAGUAUGUACAUUGUUCCUUACAAGAAACCCCUAAGAGCAUGGUUAAUAGUAUAGCCAGCUGCUGGCUAUAAGCCAGUGCCAUGUCAUCUACAACCCAUCUUAUAGCCAACAUGUAGUACUAGUUUAUUUCUUAUAGCCCGCUGACUCAGCUCUAUUGUACUUGCUCUAAUAAUGCAAGAAACCACUAAAAUGCCAAGAAACUACUACCACUUGCAUACGUGGCAGACUUAAGAUAAGACUACCUUAUCAACCAUUGUACAUGCUCUUACCAACAAAAAUCCUCGAGUAACCUCCUACCUCUGGCCCGUCCACCUAGUCAUCCUCGGCCAUGGGACGCAGCUACCGCCGCCGGCAGAAGGCGAGGUCAAAACCGCCGGUGGUGCAGAUCCCAUGUUGCGGCAGCCCGGAUGCCAGCUCUGUCCGGCGCUCUCGGCUGCUAGCUAGCAAAGAUAGCUCCAUCCAGCAGCUUGUCUGCAAGGUUUGCUAGCUAGAUUGGCACGGCAGCGCGGUGGCUUGCUCGCGCGCGCCGCGCUAAGGCUAGCCAUUUGGCUCGAGCGAAGGCCAGCGCGGCGGCUUUCUCGCUCCCGAGUCACACUCGGGCCAGCCUGCCAACCCAUGCGGAGCCCAGCGCGGCGUCCGGCCCGUCCGGCGCAGCGGCGGCCAACUCGCUCAUCACCGGCACCACCGACGAACACGCAUCAGUACUGUUUGAAGUAAUGUUCAGGAAAAAUAAUGAUUUGAGGGGGAAUAAUAGGAUAGAAGGUCAGAUGUGGGUCCCUUGUGUCAACGGUCAAACAAAAUGUGUUAGUUUAAGCUGCCUUGCCAGCACGGACAUGUGGGCCAACCCUGUCAUAAAUGGGUUUAAACGAACCUAAUCGGUAGGAGUACUAGGUAGUUUUUGGCGUGGAUUAAGAAAUUUUGGGUAUGUUUUUGCUAUUUUUGUACAAUAGAUUCUUCCUAGGGCUGGUUGAAAGUGGUAGUUUUUUGUUAAAUACUCUACAUAUUGUAAGUAUGAGUGAAAGUUAAGCUUUGGAAGCCAAUAAGCACGGCUAGUUACAUAGUGCAUAUGUGUACAUGAUUGAAAGUAAAUAUCAACCAUGAGUGACUAAUAUCUUGAUGGAAAACUCGAAACUAUGGAAUACUAGGAAAAGAAAUGCAUGGUUGGAAAUACUAGCAAUGUUCAUGUCCGUUGCAACGAAUCAUAAUUAGAAUAAUACUUAUUCACAAACUUGGUACUAAACACUAUAUUUUUGAUAUACAUAUGUCACUAGAGAUAUAUUAUGUUUCAAUUAGAAUAUAUUCCUUGGGCUGUUUUGGUGAGGUCAGGGAGGGAUGUGGUUGGUUUUAAGAUACUAAUUAUGGGUUUUUCUGCAAAUUGGUAGACAAGUGGGAUGUUGGUGAGAAAAGGCAACAACUUACCUCACAAUCGUUAGAUGUAGAUCUAAUGGUCAGAAACGACGGAUGGCAGACACACCAGCAUCACCAACUUAGUCUUGUGUAGGAGUACUAGCAAGAUCCGUGCAUUGCACGGAACAUCAAGAUGCAUUUUUUAUAGAACACUUGUUGUGAUUGACCCUUGCGGGAGUAAUCCCAUGUGUAAAAACUAAUGAUAUCUCGAGAAAUAUGAGAAAAGGUGAAGAGGAGUGGGGUGUGGUGGUGGUUGGUGGUCGGAGAGAGAGAUACAGUGUGCGUGUGUGAUAUGUUAGAGACUGAGGCAAUGAUAACAGAUUCUUUGUGUCUAUGUGUGUGGAGGAUAGAGAGAGACAUGUACAUGGGGCUUUGUGUUGUGUAAUGUGGAGACACAUAUACAUAAUUAGAGAGUGAGUGUGUGAGAUACACAUGCGGACAUGAGGAGAGAUGAGGAUCCGGGUAAAUGGGUGUUUGUGUGUGUCUAUGUGUGUUUGUGCACGCAUUUGUGUGUGAGGGGGAGAGAGUGUAUCCGGAGUAGAGAGACCACUGAUGAUGUAAACCUAGUAUAAGGGAAGGGGGAAUGGUGUGACAUGUGUAGUUGCGAGAUAGCACAGGUGCGGGCGGGGGGAGCAGACUAUUUGGAAGAGACAUCGAGUGUGUGUGUGGGAGAGGGGUGUGAGAGCGAGAGAAAGAGAGAUCUGGCGAUGGAGAGAGAGAGAGAAAGAGAGAGAGAGAGAGAGAGAGAGAGAGAGGAAGAGAGGGGGCGAGAGGGGUCGUUUGUGUCCAUAAAUGGCGUAUAGAUAGGGAGACAAUGUUGACGUUGUCCGAAAUUGGCCUAUGAACGGAGACGCAAGGGAAGCGAGUCAUCGUGUGUGUGAUAGGGACUUCAUGAGAGAUCUAGAAUAGAUGGUGUAGAGAACAAUGUGCGAAAUCGAGAACGAUUAUACAUUAGGGAGCUAUGCAAAGAGUCACGACAUAUAUGUAUACAGGGAAGGAGCUGGGGCGGGUCUGCAUGUGGGAGAGAUAGAAAGAUGAGAGUGGUGCACAAGGAGACAAAGUGUGCUUGUUUGCAGAGGGGGUGGUGUGUGAGGUGAGUGCACGAGAACCACAUAACUAGGGAGAUAGACGUUUGGGGGCGACGUUCUGUGUGUAUGGGAAAUAUACACUCUACAUAGUGCGUGUGCUUGGGUAAGAGAGAUAGCGGGAGACGUAGGGAGUGACGGAAGAGAUGUGUGCAUGCCCUAGAGACAAAGUGAUAGAGACCUAUGUUGGGGUCCGGACUUUACAAGAGAGAGGGGUGUUAAUGUGCUCGUGUGUUGGUGUUUGGGGGAGAGAAUGACUUCUCUAUGUGUGUGUGUGUGUGGGGUGGUGGUGGGGGGGGGGGGGGGUUGACUUCAGAUAAAGAGUGAUGUGUCUAUAUUUGAGGGACUUUAGCGUAAUUGACAUAUUGUGCACUCAUGGUUGAUCAGUUUGUUUCACAGUUUGUACUAUGAGAUAAUGAUACUUUUGAACAUGCGUGAUAUACCUUGAUGUACCAGAAUUACAAACCUAAGAUUGGAAUUUUGGAAUUCGACUCCAUCAUUAGCUUUUGUAAUUCAUUUAAAUGGAGGUACAUUUUUUAAGCCGGGAUUUCGUGAUUUCAAAUUCAUAUAUCAAACCUAGAGACAUACACAUACGGGCAUGUUAAAACUUUAUAAUCAUCCACUUUAUUCAUACACAUACACAUUUUUGCUUUUGUCAUCAUAUUUAGGAUAAACACAUUUGGAAUUUCAUUUGAAUUGGACCGUAUGAUGGUAUUUGCUUGUAGUAGCUCAAUUAUCCAUAUUUGAAUUGAAUGGACAAUCUAAGUUUCGAGUUGGAGACAUUGAUUUUCAAAACUUGCACAUUCUUUUUGCGUGCAAAACAAACAAAUUGUCGGCCAUGAUAUCAUAGUCGGCCGUACAAGAGCAGAAUACUUAUAAUUUUAGGCGCCAAAAGCUUUCAAACUUCCCGCUCACAUCGAAAUAUCACGCGCUCGAAAGUUUAGCCCUGCGAUAUUCCUGUUUUACCCCUGCCACAUGAACGGAAAAGGGCUGCUUUGGUAACUCCAUUGUUUUCCCCUCUUUGCCCCCAACAUUCUUCCCCAUAGCCCCUCCCCUUCCCCUCCCCGACCCCCCAACCACGUCAUGCCGUCGAAUCUAGUCCUCCGUCGCAGCGGUGGACCUCACACCCCGCCGUAUCUACCUUCCGCACCUUGGAACCCACAACUGCCAACUCACCACUUCACAGGAGCCGCUUCAGCGACUGGCUUGUCCACCGCUCCAGAUCUCCUUGACCGCCAUCAUGGUCCACCGCACAGGAUCUGCUUAACUGACACCCUUGUCCACCAUAGCGUAGGCCCUUUACUGACUCCCUCGUCCGCCCCUUCGCUGGCCCUUCAUACAAGCCCUCGUCCGCCGCAACAGAUCCGCCUCACCGAAAGCACUGUACAACACGCCCGCCGAAGCCUUCGUCCACUGCACCGGACCCGCUCCACGGACGCCAUAUUCAACUCCACCGGCCCUGCUUUACCAACGCCGCAGCCUCAUCAGGUUAUUUCGAUUUGUACUCCUUCGGUUUUUCUCUUUAUCGUGCAACUGUUCACUUACCAUAGAUGAGCUUUCUUGUAUGUCGACAGGAACCGCAACCGUAGCACCGGAGCCGCUUCAGCGACGGCGACAGCCGGCCCAAACUCAACCGCAACACGAGCACCAUCGACAAUCCUUAGCUAACAAGUAUGACAACGAUACCCAUACGCCGCCGAGAAUCAGGUACUAUUAUCCAACGGCUGGUGCCUACGUUCACUUUCCUAGCAUAAGCACCGCAUGUUUGAAUUUCUUCAUGGCAUCAUUCAGUUUUUCAUGAGACGCGUUAUUUUGCUUGCACCUGUAGGGCCAUACUUCUGGCAGUGAACAUGUUACAUGUGCUAAAUUACAUACCAGUGCACAUAUAGUUAAUAUGCUUUAGUUUUUUUCUGAUGCCACCUGUUGGUUCCAUCAGACUGCUUAAUUUUCUCUAUGCUUAAUUACACAUCAGCAAACUAGCAUGUGGUUCCGCUGCUUUUUGUUCGUUUUACCCUACAUUUUCUGAUGCUAGCUAUUACAUCACUGCUCUGAGCCUCUGUUCAUUACUUGUUUGUGUGUUCUUGAUCUUCCCAAGUUGCAUGACUAAUUUGAUGCUUCUAUUAAUUAUGGAGCUGCAACCCCAUCAAGCAAAAUAUUUGUUCUUUUGGGGCUGGCACCUCGAACAAGCAUAAAAAUAGAGGGAAGCAGAUAUACUCCCUCUGAUUCUAUUUACUCUGCACAUAACUCUUGACCCGCAUACCAAGGAGGGCACUGGUUUAAUUUUUCUGGACUAAUUUGCCAAUUAAUUAGGGCAGAGGCGGAUGGGUGGGGCACAAAAGGAAACUAGCGCUAGGAAUCGGCAACGCGCAGACUAAUACGAGAAAACUGAGAAAAAGUUAUAUGCAAAGUAAAAAGAAUCGGAGGGAGUAUUGUCGUGUAUGCACACACCCUUCUUUCAUUAAUUUAGAUGAACCAUUGAUGAUCAAUUCGGACCAGUGCAUGCGAUUAAAAUUAAUUUUACCUAAAUAGAUGGUGCAGAAUAAACUACAACAACUAGAUUUGCAACCACGGGAUGCUGACGCUAUCUUCAAAGAACAUUGCAACAACAGCUAGGUUUCACAACAACAUAUGGUAAGCCAGUGUGUUUUAGUACAUGUGAAAUGUAAUGCGAGUGGGCUGCUUUCUUGGCAUACUCCCUCAACGUGUAAUCCUACCGAAUUACAAAUAGUUCAGUUGUCUGCUUUGCUCUAUUGCUUGAUUCGAAUGCUUAUUUGUUGUUACGCUAUACCUGAGUUGGCCAAUAUGUCAGUAGUGCCUGCUGUACUAUCGUAAAGAAAUGCAUGCCUAUUUCAUUUGAGUCCUUAACUUUUCCUCUCAACUUCAUCACAAGACUGUCUUCGUAGUUUAUAUGAGGCCACACUGUUAAGUGCUUUCUCAGAUUAUUUCAACUGCUUAGAUGCCUUGGCAACUUAAAUAUAGUGGUUGUACACUCCCUUUCAACUAGGGAUGUCAACUGGGUCCGGUUUAAUCCCGAUUAAAUUCCACUUGUGGUAUGAUAGUUCAAAAGAGUUUUUGUUUUUUUGAGGAAAAUGAACUAGGGAGGUAGCAAAAACUAACUAGAUGGGACUGGCGGAUUUUGUUUAUUUGCCACUUACAUCCCUAGUUUCAUCUUACCAUUUUAAUUUCUUUUCGGCUGAUGGUGCUUCGAACCAUUUAAAUAUAGUUUGCCAUGCUCAGCAAUAAUUCGUCCGUCGUUUACCAUGUAAGCUUACUGCCUGGAUCAUACGAUAACUAUCUCUUACUGAUGUCCAGCGGAAACCUUUCAGGAUGCCGUUCAUACUAGGACACAAUAUACAACCCCAGAAUCUAUUUGUGGAAGCAGUGCGCCAUCCAUGUUACCAGAUGGUAGCAGUUCAGAGGCAACACCACCGGAGAGCAGUCUGAGCACAUAUAUUAUAGUGCUUGAGGCUCUACUAGAGGCAGAAAGAGAUGGUGUGGCUGCCAUGAAUGAGGUAAUCUUUAUCUUGAGGCUGGAAAUUACGGAAUUAGCGGCACACAUUAUGCAAGCAACCCAAGAAUUGGAGGAAGUAAGAAUGUUGCAUUUGAAGACGGAGGAGGUCCUGUUGUUUCUGCUAUCUGAAGCCCAAGAUAAUCUCGGUUCUUCUUUAGAUACCAGUUAAAAUUUUCAUUAGAUUAUUGUACUUGCAUGUUGUGUCAUGUCUCUGAAUGGAUUAUGUUGCAAGACCCCCUAUGUUGUCCAUGUGUUGUAAUGACCCGAAUUUUUUAGGCGAGGUAAUACUCAGUACUUAUAUGAUUGACAUAAGGUGAACUGUUUUUCCUGUGAGCAUAUUGUAUUGGAUGAAAUAACUGUUUGACUCAGAGUGUAUCCAACCUACUGAAUUCGAAGAUCACGCCAUUUCUAAAUCAUAAUCAUAUAUAAAGGUGGAAUAAAUCUUUGUUGUGGUUUUGAAGAAAUAAAUAACAAAACGUAUAAUUAUCUGUGGAUAUUCGUAAUCGAAUACAAAUUGGAUUUGAAUUUAGUUUGCCAGGUCCCAGGGCAAACGUGAAUGCUAAUUUUCCCAAGUUUUGAACGAAGCGGCUAAACACCCACUAUAAUUUGUGGGUUGCCCGAAGCAAGUGUUUGCGAGAUGGAAAUUACUGUCUACCCUUGACAUUUGACAUCCUUAUCAACAAGAUUUACACUGCUGUCGAUAGGGGUAGACUAGUAAUUUCAAUCAGACGUGACACGACGGCCUCUGAGCCCAUUCAGACAUAGUGGGCGCCAAACGUGGGCGGCAAAACACAUUUGAUUCAAGGUCGUCGGAAAGACAUGUGUCUCUUCCUCCAUUUCCCCAUUCAUACAGGGUGGGCGGCAAAACAAACUCUCCUCAUCCGAAAUCGAUGUAGGCUAAUAUUUUAAAUAGGGGCAGAUGUGUAACUUCCAUCAGACGUGACACAACCGCCCUACCUGUUAGCCCCGUUCAUACACCGUGGGCGCCAACCGUGGGCGGCAAAACACCCUCUCCUCGCCCGAAAUCGAUGUAGGCUAAUAUUUUAAAUAGGGGCAGAUGUGUAACUUCCAUCUGACAUGACACAACCGCCCUACCUGUCAGCCCCGUUCAUACACCGUGGGCGCCAACCGUGGGCAGCAAAACACCCUCUCCUCGCCCGAAAUAGUUACCGGCAAAUAUUUGGGAGAUGCGAGAUUACCGUCCUAUCCCCAACCGACGCGAUGUCCAAAAUUUUAAACGGGGGAUAAGCUCGUAACUUUCCCCCAUUUCAGAGAAGCGCGUCCCAAAGUUUGAGAUCCCCCUCCCCUCCAUUUCCCCAUUCAUACACCGUCGGCGGCACGACAACCUCUGCACUGCGGCCAGCCUCCUCCGUCCGCCACCCCAUCCUCCACCUUGCCGGAGCGGCUACCCCUACCCCGUCGUCCACUGCAAGAGAUGGACAUCUCUUAUCCAUGACGCUGGACCAGGAUCCUUUCAUUGCCUCCUCUCGCUUCAUUGGCGCCGUCGUCCACCUUGCCGUUGCCGCUCCUACGACCGCCUCGUCCACGGCAACAGGAUAUAUCCCCCGACCCAACCGUCUACCAUCUAAAUCUUCUUCCCCGCUGCCGACAGCCAUCGCACCUGCAGCACCCUCAACGUAUCAGCAUAGGCCUACACGGUGUCGCAAGAGAGGUGGUACUCUUCCAUAUGUGCUUAAGUUAUUGAUCUCACCCGGAAAAUAGAUCGUAAUUUGUUUAUUGUACUUUUCUUUUCCGUACCAAAUCGUAGUGGCUAGUUGAAAGCAAACAUUGGUUGCGAAGUAGCUUUGUCCGGUUUGCACCUUCAAAUCCGCCAUGGCACGGGCACUAUACUCGUAAAGCUUAUGGUUUCCCCCCUUUAUAUUCACUACUAUCAGCGUAGGUGCUUCGUGUCGUGCUAGCACUGCUCCUCAAUGAAGGAAAUAUGCCCUAGAGGCAAUAAUAAAGUUAUUAUUUAUUUCCUUAUUUCAUGAUAAAUGUUUAUUAUUCAUGCUAGAAUUGUAUUAACCGGAAACAUAAUACAUGUAUGAAUACAUAGACAAACAUAGUGUCACUAGUAUGCCUCUACUUGACUAGCUCAUGAAUCGGAGAUGGUUAUGUUUCCUAGCCAUGGACAAAAGAGUUGUCAUUUGAUUAACGGGAUCACAUCAUUAGGAGAAUGAUGUGAUUGACAUGACCCAUUCCGUUAGCCUAGCACUUGAUCGUUUAGUAUGUUGCUAUUGCUUUCUUCAUGACUUAUACAAAGUUCCUGCAACUAUGAGAUUGUGCAACUCCCGUUUACCGGAGGAACACUUUGUGUGCUACCAAAUGUCACAAUGUAACUGGGUGAUUAUAAAGGUGCUCUACAGGUGUCUCCAAAGGUAUAUGUUGAGUUGGCAGAAUUCGAGAUUAGGUUUUGUCACUCCGAUUGUCGGAGAGGUAUCUCUGGGCCUUCUCGGUAAUACUCAUCACCUAAGCCUUGCAAGCAUUGUAACUAAUGAGUUAGUUAUGAAAUGAUGUAUUACGGAACGAGUAAAGAGACUUGCCAGUAACGAGAUUGAACUAGGUACUGGAUACCGAUGAUCGAAUCUCGGGCAAGUAACAUACCAAUGACAAAGGAAACAAAGUAUGUUGUUAUGCGGUUUGACCGAUAAAGAUCUUCGUAGGAUAUAUAUGAGCCAAUAUGGGCAUCCAGGUUCCGCUAUUGGUUAUUGACCAAGAAUAGUUCUAGUUCAUGUCUACAUAGUUCUCGAACCCGUAGGGUCCGCACGCUUAAGGUUUCGAUGACAGUUUUAUUAUGAGUUUAUGAGUUUUGAUGUACCGAAGGAGUUCGGAGUUCCGGAUGAGAUCGGGGACAUGACGAGGAGUCUUGAAAUGGUCGAGACGUAAAGAUCGAUAUAUUGGACUACUAUAUUCGGACUUCGGAAAGGUUCCGAGUGAUUCGGGUAUUUUUCGGAGUACCGGAGAGUUACGGGAAUUCGCCGGGAGAAGUAUUGGGCCUUAUUGGGCCAUACGGGAAAGAGAGAGGGGCUGCCUAGGGCAAGCUGUGUGCCCCCCAAGGCCUAGUCCGAAUUGGACUAGGGGGAGGGGCCGCACCCCCUCCUUCCUUCCCUUCUCUCUUCCCCUUCCUUGUCUCCUACUCCUACUACUUGGAAGGACUCCUAGUUAGACUAGGAAAGGGGGAAUCCUACUCCCGGUGGGAGUAGGACUCCCCUAGGGCACGCCAUAGAGAGGGCCGGCCCUCCCCUCCUCCACUACUUUAUAUACAGGGGCAGGGGGCACCCCAUAGACACAAGUUGAUCUACGGAUCGUUCCUUAGCCGUGUGCGGUGCCCCCCUCCACCAUAUUCCACCUCGGUCAUAUCAUUGCGGAGUUUAGGCGAAGCCCUGCGCCGGUAGAACAUCAUCAUCAUCACCAUGCCGUCGUGCUGACGAAACUCAUCCCCGACGCUUUGCUGGAUUGGAGCCCGGGGAACGUCAUCGAGCUGAACAUGUGCUGAACACGGAGGUGCCGUACGUUCGGUGCUUGGAUCGGUCGGAUCGUGAAGACGUACGACUACAUCAACCGCGUUGUCAUAACACUGCCGCUUACGGUCUACGAGGGUACGUGGACAACACUCUCCCUCUCGUUGCUAUGCCAUCACCAUGAUCUUGCGUGUGCGUAGGAAUUGUUUUGAAAUUACUACGUUCCCCAACAGUGGCAUCCGAGCCUGGUUUUAUGCGUAGAUGUCAUAUGCACGAGUAGAACACAAGUGAGUUGUGGGCGAUACAAGUCAUACUGCUAACCAGCAUGUCAUACUUUGGUUCAGCGGUAUUGUUGGAUGAAGCGGCCUGGACCGACAUUACGCAUACGCUUACGCUAGACUGGUUUUACCGCCGUGCUUUGCACACAGGUGACUAGCGGGUGUCUGUUUCUCCAACUUUAGUUGAACCGAGUGUGGCUACGCCCGGUCCUUGCGAAGGUUAAAACAGCACUAACUUGAUGAACUAUCGUUGUGGUUUUGAUGCGUAGGUAAGAACGGUUCUUGCUAAGCCCGUAGCAGCCACGUAAAAUUUGCAACAACAAAGUAGAGGACGUCUAACUUGUUUUUGCAGGGCAUGUUGUGAUGUGAUAUGGUCAAGACGUGAUGAGAUAUAAGUUGUUGUAUGAGAUGAUCAUGUUUUGUUGAAGUUAUCGGCAACUAGCAGAAGCCCUAUGGUUAUCUCUUGGUUGCAUAAGAUGCAAGCACCAAAUAAUUGCUUUACUUUAUCGCUAUGCAAUAGCAAUAGUUGCAAGAGCAAUAGUUGGCAAGACGACCAUGUGACGACACAUUGAUAUAGAUCAAGAUGAUGAAGAUCAUGGUGUCGUGCCGGUAACGAUAGAGAUCAUGACAGUACUUUGGAGAUGGAGAUCAAAGGCACAAGAUGAUCAUGGCCAUAUCAUGUCACAUAUUUUGAUUGCAUAUGAUGUUUAUCUAUUAUACAUCUUAUUCUUUUUUGAUUGACGGUAGCAUUUUAAGAUGAUCUCUCACCAAAUUAUCAAGAAGUGUUCUCCCUGAGUAUGCACCGUUGCGAAAGUUCUUCGUGCCGAGACACCACGUGAUGAUCGGGUGUGAUAGGCUCUAUGUUCAAAUACAACGGGUGCAAAACAGUUGCACACGCGGAAUACUCAGGUUAAACUUGAUGAGCCUAGCAUAUGCAGAUAUGGCCUCGGAGCACGGAGACCGAAAGGUCGAGCGUGAAUCAUAUAGUAGAUAUGAUCAACAUAGUGAUGUUCACCAUUGAAAACUACUCCAUCUCACGUGAUGAUCGGUUAUGGUUUAGUUGAUUUGGAUCACGUGAUCACUUAGAUGACUAGAGAGAUGUCUGUCUAAGUGGGAGUUCUUAAGUAAUAUGAUUAAUUGAACUUAAAUUUAUCAUGAACUUAGUCCUGGUAGUAUUUUGCAAAUUAUGUUGUAAGAUCAAUAGCUUGCGUUGUUGCUUUCAUAUGUUUAUUUUUAUAUGUUCUUAGAGAAAAUUGUGUUGAAAUAUGUUAGUAGCAAUGAUGCAGAUUGGAUCCGCGAUAUGAGGUUUAUCCUCAUUGCUGCACAGAAGAAUUAUGUCCUUAAUGCACCGCUAGGUGACAGACCUAUUGCAGGAGCAGAUGCAGACUUUAUGAACAUUUGGCUAGCUCAAUAUGAUGACUACUUGAUAGUUUUGUGCACCAUGCUUUAUGGCUUAGAAUCGGGACUUCAAAGAUGUUUUGAACAUCAUGGACCAUAUGAGAUGUUCCAGGAAUUGAAGUUAAUAUUUCAAGCAAAUACCCGAGUUGAGAGAUAUGAAGUCUCCAACAAGUUCUAUAGCUAAAAGAUGGAGGAGAAUCGCUCAACUAGUGAGCAUGUGCUCAGAUUGUCUGGAUACUUCAAUCGCUUGAAUCAAGUGGGAGUUAAUCUUCCAGAUAAGAUAGUGAUUGACAGAAUUCUCUAGUCACCAUCACUAAGUUACUAGAACUUCGAGAUGACCUAUAGUAUGCAAGGGAUGACGGAAACGAUUCCCGAGCUCUUCGUGAUGUUGAAAUCAACGAAGGUAGAAAUCAAGAAAGAGAAUCAAGUGUUGAUGAUUGACAAGACCACUAGUUUCAAGAAAAGGGCAAAGGGAAAGAAAGGGAAACUUCAAGUAGAAUGGCAAACAAGUUGUCACUCCCGUGAAGAAGACCAAAGCUGGACCAAAGCCUGAAACUGAGUGCUUACACUGCAAAGGAAAUGGUCUCUGGAAGCGGAAAUGCCCUGAAUAUUUGGUGGAUAAGAAGGAUGGCAAAGUGAACAAGGGUAUAUUUGAUAUACAGGUUAUUGAUGUGUGCUUUACUAGUGUUUAUAGUAACCCCUGAGUAUUUGAUACUUGUUCGGUUGCUAAGAUUAGUAACUCGAAACAGGAGUUACAUAAUAAACAGAGACUAGUUGAGGGGAAGUGACGAUGAGUGUUGGAAAUAGUUCCAAGAUUGAUAUGAUCAUCAUCACACACUCCCUAUAUUUUUGAGAUUAGUGUUAAACCUAAAUAAAUGUUAUUUAGCGUUUGCGUUGAGCAUGAAUAUGAUUUGAUCAUGUUUAUUGCGAUACAGUUAUUCAUUUGAAGUUAAAGAAUAAUUGUUAUUCUGUUUACAUGAAUAAGACCUUCGAUGGUUAUACACCCAAUGAAAAUAGUUUGUUGGAUCUCGAUCGUAGUGAUGAACAUAUUCAUAAUAUUGAUGCCAAAAGAUGCAAAGUUAAUAAUGAUAAUGCAACUUAUUUGUGGCACUGCCGUUUUGGUCAUAUCGGUGUAAAGCACAUGAAGAAACUCCAUAAAGAUGGAUUUUCGGAAUCACUUGGUUACGAAUCAUUUGAUGCUUGCGAACCGUGCCUUUUGUGCAAGAUGACUAAAACUCCGUUAUCCGGAACAAUGGAACAAGCUACUGACUUAUUGGAAAUAAUACAUACCGAUGUAUGCGAUCCAAUGAGUGUUGAUGCUCGUGGCAAGUAUCUCUAUUUUCUGACCUUCACAAGAUGAUUUGAGCAGAUAUGGGUAUAUCUACUUGAUGAAACAUAAGUCUGAGAUAGUUGAAAGGUUCAAUGAAUUUCAGAGUGAAGUGGAAAAAUCAUCGUGACAAGAAAAUUAAGUUUCUGUGAUCUGAUCGCAGAGACGAAUAUUUGAGUUACGAGUUUGGUCUUCAAUUAAAACAAUGUGGAAUAGUUUCACAGCUCACGCCACCUGGAACACCACAAUGUUAUGGUGUGUCCAAACAUCGUAACCGCACUUUAUUGGAUAUAGUGCGAUCUAUGAUGUCUCUUACUGAUUUACCACUAUUGUUUUUGGGUUAUGCAUUAGAGACAGCUGCAUUCACGUUAAAAGGGCACCAUCUAAAUCCGUUGAGAUGACACCAUAUGAACUGUGGUUUAGCAAGAAACCCAAGUUGUCGUUUCUUAAAGUUUGGGGCUGCGAUGCUUAUGUGAAAAAGUUUCAUCCUGAUAAGCUCGAACCCAAAUCGGAGAAGUGCGUCUUCAUAGAAUACCCAAAGGAAAUUGUUGGGUACACCUUCUAUCACAGAUCCGAAGGCAAGAUAUUCGUUGCUAAAAAUGGAUCCUUUCUAGAGAAGGAGUUUCUCUUGAAAGAAGUGAGUGGGAGGAAAGUAGAACUUGAUGAGGUAACAGUACCAGCUCCCUUAUUGGAAAGUAGUUCAUCACAGAAAUCGGUUCCUGUGACACCUACACCAAUUAGUGAGGAAGUUAAUGAUGAUGAUCAAGAAACUUCAGAUGAAGUUGUUACUGAACUUCGUAGAUCAACCAGAGUAAGAUCCACACCAGAGUGGUACGGUAAUCCUAUUCUGGAAGUCAUGUUACUAGACCAUGAUGAACCUACGAACUAUGAGGAAGCGAUGAUGAGCCCAGAUUCCGCGAAAUGGCUUGAGGCCAUAAAAUCUGAGAUAUGAUCCAUGUAUGAGAACAAAGUAUUGACUUUGAUUGACUUGCUCGAUGAUCAGCAAACCAUGUUAAUUAAAUGGAUUUUUAAGAGGAAGACGGACGCUGAUAGUAUUGUUACUAUCUACAAAGCUAGAAUUGUCACAAAAGGUUUUCGACAAGUUCAAAGUGUUGACUAUGAUGAGAGUUUCUCACUCGUAUCUAUGCUUAAGUCUGUCCGAAUCAUGUUAGCAAUUGCCACAUUUUAUGAAAUCUGGCAAAAGGAUGUCAAAACUGCAUUCCUCAAUGAAUUUAUUAAAGAAGAGUUGUAUAUGAUGCAACCAGAAGGUUUUGUCAAUCCUAAAGGUGCUAACAAAGUGUGCAAGCUCCAGCGAUCCAUUUAUGGACUGGUGCAAGCCUCUCGGAGUUGGAAUAUACGCUUUGAUGAGUUGAUCAAAGCAUAUGGUUUUAUACAGAUUUUUGGGGAAGCCUGUAUUUACAAGAAAGUGAGUGGGAGCUCUGUAGCUUCUAAUGUUAUAUGUGGAUGACAUAUUGUUGAUUGGAAAUGAUAUAGAAAUUCUGGAUAGCAUGAAAGGAUACUUGAAAAAGAGUUUUUCAAAGCAAGACCUCAGUGAAGCUGCUUACACAUUGAGCAUCAAGAUCUAUAUAGAUAUAUCAAGACGCUUGAUAAGAUUUUUCAAUGAGUACAUACCUUGAUAAAUUUUUGAAAUAGUUCAAAAUGGAACAGUCAAAGAAGGAGUUCUUGCCUGUGAUGCAAAGGUGUGAAGUUGAGUAAGACUCAAGACCCGACCAUGGCAGAAAAUAGAAAGAGAAUGAAAAGUCAUUCCCCAUGCCUCAGUCAUAGGUUCUAUAAAGUAUGCUAUGCUGUGAACCAGACCUAUUGUAUACCUUGCUCUGAGUUUGACAAAAGGAAUACAAUUUUGAUCUAAGAGUAGAUCACUGGACAGUGGUCAAGAAUAUCCUUAGUGAGGACUAAGGAGAUAUUUCUCGAUUAUGGAGGUGAUAAAAGAGCCCAUCGUAAAAAGUUACAACGAUGCAAACUUUUACACCAAUCCAGAUGACUCUAAGUCUCAAACUGGAUACAUAUUGAAAGUGGGAGCAAUUAGCUAGAGUAGCUCCGUGCAGAGCAUUGUGGACAUAGAAUAUUUGCAAAAUACAUACGGCUCUGAAUGUGACAGACCCGUUGACUAAGCUUCUCUCACGAGCAAAACAUGAUCACACCUUAGUACUCUUUGGGUGUUAAUCACAUAGCGAUGUGAACUAGAUUAUUGACUCUAGUAAACCCUUUGGGUGUUGGUCACGUGACGAUGUGAACUAUGGGUGUUAAUCAUAUACAGAUAUGAAUAUUGGUGUUAAAUCACAUGGCGAUGUGAACUAGAUUAUUGACUCUAGUGCAAGUGGGAGACUAAAGGAAAUAUGCCCUAGAGGCAAUAAUAAAGUUAUUAUUUAUUUCCUUAUUUCAUGAUAAAUGUUUAGUAUUCAUGCUAGAAUUGUAUUAACCGGAAACAUAAUACAUGUGUGAAUACAUAGACAAACAUAGUGUCACUAGUAUGCCUCUACUUGACUAGCUCGUGAAUCAAAGAUGGUUAAGUUUCCUAGCCAUGGACAAAAGAGUUGUCAUUUGAUUAACGGGAUCACAUCAUUAGGAGAAUGAUGUGAUUGACAUGACCCAUUCUGUUAGCCUAGCACUUGAUCGUUUAGUAUGUUGCUAUUGCUUUCUUCAUGACUUAUACAAAGUUCCUGCAACUAUGAGAUUGUGCAACUCCCAUUUACCGGAGGAACACUUUGUGUGCUACCAAACGUCACAACGUAACUGGGUGAUUAUAAAGGUGCUGUACAGGUGUCUCCAAAGGUACAUGUUGAGUUGGCAUAAUUCGAGAUUAGGUUUUGUCACUCCGAUUGUCGGAGAGGUAUCUCUGGGCCUUCUCGGUAAUACUCAUCACCUAAGCCUUGCAAGCAUUGUAACUAAUGAGUUAGUUAUGAAAUGAUGUAUUACGGAACGAGUAAAGAGAUUUGCCAGUAACGAGAUUGAACUAGGUACUGGAUACCGACGAUCGAAUCUCGGGCAAGUAACAUACCAAUGACAAAGGGAACAAAGUAUGUUGUUAUGCGGUUUGACCGAUAAAGAUCUUCGUAGAAUAUGUAGGAGCCUAUAUGGGCAUCUAGUUUCCGCUAUUGGUUAUUGACCAAGAAUAGUUCUAGGUCAUGUCUACAUAGUUCUCGAACCCGUAGGGUCCGCACGCUUAAGGUUUCGAUGACAGUUUUAUUAUGAGUUUAUGAGUUUUGAUGUACCGAAGGAGUUCGGAGUUCCGGAUGAGAUCGGGGACAUGACGAGGAGUCUCAAAAUGGUCGAGACAUAAAGAUCGAUAUAUUGGACAACUAUAUUCGGACUUCGGAAAGGUUCCGAGUGAUUCGGGUAUUCUUCGGAGUACCAGAGAGUUACGGGAAUUCGCCGGGAGAAGUAUUGGGCCUUAUUGGGCCAUACGGGAAAGAGAGAGGGGCUGCCUAGGGCAAGCUGCGCGCCCCCCCCAAGGCCUAGUCCGAAUUGGACUAGGGGGAGGGGCCGCACCCCCUCCUUCCUUCCCUUCUCUCUUCCCCUUCCUUGUCUCCUACUCCUACUACUUGCAAGGACUCCUAGUUAGACUAGGAAAGGGGGAAUCCUACUCCCGGUGGGAGUAGGACUCCCCUAGGGCGCGCCAUAGAGAGGGCCGCCCCCCCCCCCUCCUCCACUCCUUUAUAUACGGAGGCAGGGGGCACCCCAUAGACACAAGUUGAUCUGCGGAUCGUUCCUUAGCCGUGUGCGGUGCCCCCCUCCACCAUAUUCCACCUCAGUCAUAUCGUCGCGGAGUUUAGGCGAAGCCCUGCGCCGGUAGAACAUCAUCAUCGUCACCACGCCGUCGUGCUGACGGAACUCAUCCCCGACGCUUUGCUGGAUUGGAGCCCGAGGAACGUCAUCGAGCUGAACGUGUGCUGAACACGGAGGUGCCGUACGUUCGGUGCUUGGAUCGGUCGGAUCGUGAAGACGUACGACUACAUCAACCGCGUUGUCAUAACGCUUCCGCUUACGGUCUACGAGGGUACGUGGACAACACUCUCCCCUCUCGUUGCUAUGCCAUCACCAUGAUCUUGCGUGUGCGUAGGAAUUUUUUUGAAAUUACUACUUUCCCCAACACUCAAGACCUCAACCCAAAGCUUACGUGUUGAAAUAAGAAUCUGAUAUGAUGCUCGUAUCACUAAAAUAGAGAACCUUUAAUUGGUCACCUAAUGCUCGAAUAUUCGUUUCGAAAAGCAUGUGCGCCACCCACUGGUCCAGCUAGUUCCACUUUCCUGAUUUUUCUCUUGAUGCUUAGGGUUUUCCCCUUUUAUCUGCUCUACUAUGAUCUGCGUAGGUGCUUUCUAUCGUACUAGCAUUACUCCACCCUUGAAGCUAAACAACACAACAGUCAGAAUUCGAAAGCUUAGUUGUUCAAAUAUGAUUGUGAUAUGAUACUGAUAUUAGUUAACCGACACAUUUAGUUGGUUAGCUAAAGGUCCCACUUGAGUUUCCAAAUGCAUGUCGCAACAUAUAGAGAUAUAGCAUAAUUGCAUUUCUUUGUCACUUGUUGACCGUACUUUCUUGUCCGUACCAAAUCUUAGUUGUUAUUUCCAAGCAAACAUCAGUUGCUAACUACCCUUUGCGCAGUUUGCAGCUUCAGAUCUGCCAUCCCACUGCCACGGUCAACAUUGUACUCAUCAUGCUUAUGUUUUCCCCGUUUUAUGAUGACCACAAUCAGCCUACGUAGUUCGUGUCGUAAUAGCACUGCUCCACCCAUCGAGCUAAACAAGCUUAGUUCUACAAAUUCAUAUAUGAUAUUAUUGCUGAUAUUAGUAAAACUGAGAGAUGUUGAAUUGGUUAGCUAAAUGUUCCUACUUUAGUUUCGAAAUGCAUGUGAGCCACAUAUGGAGAGACCGGAAAGAAUAGUAUUUCUCUGUGCACUCUGGUUCAUCAUGGGUGGCCAACCGACAUUGUAUUAAAAGACUUGUAAUAUCUUCAAUCUGCUUGCUCUUCUGCUCUUCUUUAAGAUGAUACUCUUCUCUUGCGGUCGACUGGUCAGGUCGAGUUGUUCUCCCUUAGUAUAUUUUGAAUGUGUCAGGUCAGGUCGACUUAUUCUGCUUUACUAUAUGUUGAAGCUAUCAUCUGCGAAGUGUCAUCACUUCUGGAGCUCUCAUAUUUUGAGUAGUAGGCCACAUUAUAUUAAUAUACACAACAAAUUACAACAUGCAAGGCAUCUUCUAAAAGAACUGCAGAGAUAGCACAAAGGGGUUUAUAGGGAGGCAGUAUUGGAUUAGAAUCACUUCUGCAUUACAAAGAAAAUCUCACUUGUUUUUAUGUUUUCAUGCAUGUUAGAUAUUGAACAUUAUCAAAAUGAAUAUGAGAAUGGGCGCACGACAGGAAUAUUGCGGAACGAUCCACUGGCUAACAAACUUGGCAUGGUGGAGGAUGGCCUAUCUUAUUCACCCAUCAAGGUGCUUGCUCUAACUUUGCAAAGUUGUAUUGGUCGGACAUAUUUUGCUUCUGACCUAUUUCAUUACUUCUACUUUGUUACACCAUUUGCUUAGUUUAAGCAUCAUAUAUGAGUAUAUGCCAUACAUAUCCAUUUUUUGUACCUAUUCCAUGUGUCGUGAAACUAUGUUUUUUCAGUAAAAUGUUGUUAGUUUGUAAUAGAUGUCCAAAAGGAAGAGGGUGAGUGCAGAUCCUCAAGGAGUACAAACUAGGUAUUUAGAAAAGGUAGUGAUACCUGUUAAAUCAGAUAGAUCAGCAGCCACAGAAAACACAGGCCCAACUGUACCACACUUUACCCCUACUCCAGUGGCCAAACCCCUAUUAGAACUGCUGGGAGACCAGCGUCAGGUACUGUCUAUGAUAUCAAUUCAAAAUUUCAACUCCUAAAUUUCUGCUUGUGCCUUACCUUUUCUCUUGUAUGAAAACUAAUUUCAGAUGAAUCUCCUUGCUCAAAGGAUCAUACAAUCUCAAAACAAUAAUGGGCUCUGCAUUGCUCUUGUCAAUACCUCUCUCCCUUUUGCCUUGUAACGUUGUACUUCAUUAAUUGCUAUUUGAUUAUGUAUCAUCAGUCUGCACCUGAGCUUCAUUAUCCUCUGUUUCUUCCAAUAUUAUUUGAUCUAUAUUUACUCUUUGCAAAAUUUAGAAUAAUGGCAACGCUUAUAAAGAAUUUUCUUUGGGGAAUUUAUUGAAUUAUCCUUCCAUCAACAUGGAGAAGGGCUUUGUCCAGCCCGUGUUAACAUGUAAUGUAAGUUCAUCCUUCUCAAGCCUUCGAACUUAGUUCUAGUAUAGAUUAGGAUAGGCAUCAUUUCCUCCACUGCUGUUUGCUUUGCUGUUUACAUCUGAUUGGAUGUUUGCAACAACUACGAGUUUCAAAUUGUAGUUGUAAAAACAUGUUCCUUAUGCAAAACAGAUCAAUUUAUUUGCUUAUAUAAUUGUGAAACCUGUUACAUGUCUCCUUGUUUCUCUUUCAGACUCGUAUCUCUUACGCCAGGCAGAACUUUAGGGAAGAUAGUGAGCCAAACCAUCUUGAGGACAGCGAGAUGACCCCAAGGUCCUUUCUUGAUGAAGACAGUGAGUUGAAGCUACUCACCAGCAGGUGUGAGACAACCUCUGUGCAGUCGCUGCCUCAAUCAGUUCGACUUCUCUAGUCUCAACUUAAAGCGGAAAGGCUUGCUUCAGCUCAGGUCCGACUUGAAGUCAAAGAUGCAAUGAAGAUGUCAGAGGACUGCCGUGCGCACCAUCAUGCCUUAAAUCUAGUGUUGAUGCAUCUCUCGUUGACACAACUGAGGUCUACUCAGCUUCUUCAACUGUUUGGGGGGCCCUACCUGGCCAGGCCUAGUGCCUUCUGAAGUGCUCUCAGUUUUGUAUAUUCUUUUGUCGGCGCGUUUAUUUGCACUGGUGGCGAACUUUGAUGCCCAAUGGAUGUAAUAUGUGUGAUAGCCGUGAUAGCCUAGCAUAAGUUGCUUGCUUAUUUAUUUCCUUGUUGUCUUGUUUAUUUGUUUGCUUCUACUCAUUGAAGUUCUUUUUCCGCGGUUUGCUAGUGGCUGCGAUAACCUAUUUUUUAAAACUAGGCCAUAAUAACCAUAGGCUAAUAUUUACUGUAGUGACACUGGGCCUCCUACGGGCCGUAGAAACAGUGGGCCUUCUACGGGCCGUAGAAACAAUGGGCCUUCUACGGGCCGUAGAAACAAUGGGCCUUCUACGGGCCGUAGAAACAACGGGCCUUCUACGGGUCGUAUCAUCAAUGGGCCUUAUACGAGCAGUAUGAUCGAUGGCCAAACAUGGGCCAAUAACAGGCUGCAUUAUGGCCGUAUUCGGGCUAGAGUUGGAAUUGUCCGUUCAUGGGCCGACCAUAACGGGCCAUCGUUAAUAGGCCGUAUUUGAUGAUGCUAUGAAAACGGCCCAACGUAUUAAAGGACCACAAACGGGCCGACUGUAACCACGGGCUGAAUUUGGCCCACAAGCAGAAAAUGACAGUAACAGGCCGUAAGUAAACGAAUGCUUGAAAUGAGCCCAAGAAUAAAUGGGCUCUGAGAAGGCCGAAAGAUAACAUGGCCUGGAAAAGGCCCAACGGAAUAACGGGCCGUUAAUGGGUAUAAAGUGAUACACUGUUCAUUACGGGCCAGUUUCACCACGUGCCGUUAAUGGGUGAAAAGUGAUACACUGUUCAUUACGGGCCAGUUUCACCACGGGUCGUUAAUAGGCCAAGAGUUACAUAGGGCCUCAUAUGGGCCGAAAGACGUCAUGGGCCAUACAUGGGCCAGAAGUGAAAAUGGGCUAGAAUCAUAUUGGGUGGCCCAGAUCACGCUACUGAGCCUAAUUCGGAUAGGACGUAACGGGCCUUGGGUUAGCGGGAUGUAAAUGGGCUAUAUGUGAACAGGCCGUUAACAGGCUUUACAUGGGCAGGCCCGCCAGCUUUUGACCAAGUCAAACGGGCCGGCCUUUUCAUAGGAAUGGGCCUCUAUUGGGUCGUGCCACGUGUCGAUGUAUCAUAGGCGCCUAUCUGACCCACUGACGAGCUGGCACAUGUUUCGUCCGGCCAAUAAGAAUUUUGCACGUGGAAAUUUCCCAUUGGUCGGGGCUGUUAACGGGUUAUCGGAUCCAAAACCCGACCCGAUAGCUUAACGGCGUUCCGUUACGGUGGAUGCCACGUGUCGGUCACCCUUGACGAAAGCACUUCUGUGACGCGCGAUUUAUCGUCAUGGAAGUGGACACUUCCGUGAUGAUAAUUUUGGUAAUGUCAUGGAACACUUCUACGACAGCAAAGGUAUGACUAUCUUGAUUCUGUCAUAAAUUUGUCAUGGAUGUACAUGCAUGACAAAAAACGCGACCUACUGUGACAAACACGUAUCAUCACGGAAGCGUAUUUUUUUGUAGUGCCCAUUUAUCGAUGGCCCGUAGGAGAUCCAUGGAUCCUACGGCCCGUAUAUGGCCCAUGGUAGUUCCGGCCACUAGCAAACCAGGGAAAAAGAAGGCUAGGACAUAAAUAAGCCCGAAACUAAUGCUAGGCUAUUAAGGCGAUUGCACAGAUUACAUCCACUCGGCAUCAAAGAUCGCCACCAGUGCAAAUAUAGGGAACACCCUACACUAUACAAAAAUGGCUUGCUGUUUUCUUCAGCCGGUGGCUGCACGUUAAGAAUAAAUUUUGUAUCGCACCAAAAGGAAGGUUGGCAUAAAACUUAACAGUCUAGGAGACAAAUGCACCAUGAGAAGUUUAGAAGCUCAAUUCAUUUGACCUGACUGUUACGUUCUCAUGCUGUAUUGUCCGAUGGAGCACCAUAACCCUCGCCUUCAUUUCCCCUAGGCUCCUGGACAACAUAGCAAAUGUCUGAUAGUUUGGUUUCAAAACCAUGCAUAUCUUGACGACAUUGAGCAAUGUUUCUCUCCUUGUUUCACAAAGGGUCUUUGUUAGGGAAUGGACUUGUGUCUGGAGCACAGAUACAACAUUGCUUUGAGCUUGCAUAUCUUGAUCAUGAGGCAGUUUGGAUGAUAUUGCCUUAACAACCAACCCAGUAUUACGCAGGAACGUGCUUUUGGCACUGUUAGUGGACAGGUACUGACCCACUGCAGCAAGAGCUGACAUUGCGGUUAUAUUGGCCUCGCCACCUUCAGAAGGUGGCAGUUCCACCAUUUUUUCCAUAGCUCGUUGAAAAGUUGAGGUUUUACAUUAGUAGUACCAGAACAAAAGAUAUUAAGGAGGCAGCAAAACCAAACAAAAUAGCUUUGGUCUAUAUACAUAACUUAUUCUGGUGAACCCAUGUAAAAUAUUAGUUGUAUUUUAUUGCAAAGUACAUAAUAAAACCAGGUUCCAAACAUAUGACCAUGUACCAUCGCUAAUGUAUUGUCUAUUUCUUCACAUAGUAUUGAGGGGUAAGGAUAAAGAGACGAAGUUUAUAAUACGAAGCAUAGUAUGACAUCAUUCAUAUCACAAAACAACUGAGAACAGACAAACAUGCAAUUGUAACAUUGUGUGGGCAAGUCCAGCACGGAACUAGAUUACGGGUCAAGAUCAAAGGAACAUCACUCCUCUCUUUUAAACCUUGUAAGGUGCAAUGAUACGCUAAGACAAUUGUGUAUAAAAUUGAAAAGAGUAAUAGACAUUGGCUGCAAACCAUGCAGUCCAAGGCACAAGUCAGAGUAAGUAGUAGUUAAAAGGCAUGAGGAUUAAGGACUUACAACAGCGGCUUUGACUAGUGUAGUCAUGCCCUUCUUCUUGCUGGUGUGACAGUCCUUGAAGAUUUCCACAGCAUGUGGUUCAUGUACUUUUUGGUCCUUGCGGGCUUUCCUCUGCAUUUGGAACAAGUCAAUAUAGAUCUGAUAAUAUGGUACAACGAAAAGAGUGAAACAGCAGCUAAUUACAAGAGCCUCGCAGUGUGCAAUAUAGCUACAAGAUCCUGUCGUCUGUUGGAAUUUCACUUUCGUACGGUUGGCCUUGUUCUUUGAACAGUUCACCUACAAGAAGAUAGAUUUGUGUGGCACAUGCAUAAAUAGGACUUCAACAUGUGAUCUGAUGACAUAUAUAUAAUGUACCUGAUACUUCGGAUCAGACCAGUGUUCAACGAGGCCUAUCCAGUCUUCAUCAGAUAUAUUCUCCACUGGAGAUGUUUGGGCAAGUUCACUAUUAGCCUUGCCUUCAAAGUGAGUUUUCCUCAAGUUAUACCGAUACUAUCGCAGAGCAUACUUGAAAACAUGGGUGCAAGCUUGUCUAGUUGCAUCAUCUUGGCUAUCCAACUUGAACCUCAUCUGUUGAAAAUUAUGGGAGUCUCAUUAUCAGCGACCUAGAAAGUAUUGGACAGAGCAAGACGAUAUUACUAGUUUCCAUACAUAACCAUACUUACAGAAAAAUGGUCGAGGAAGUUGUUGAACUGGGUUUCGUCUUUGUCAUUCCUGUACUGAAUCCAUGUUGGGAGGAUACGUACAUGACACCUAACAGCAACCGCUGCCUCUGAUACUAACUUGGCUGACUCUGUAGCAUCACGUGGCCUUUUUAAACCUGCCUCAAAACGGAUCUCCAUUCUUCCUCCUCUAGAUUUAGUUAACCUAUCAAGCAUUAUCCCUCUUGCGCCUAGGUUCUAGUCCAACAACAAACAUAGGAAGUGUUAGUGUACAUCAAAUUGUGAGACUACAUAUAAAGAAGCAUGCAACUGUAACUUGACUCCAGCAACUACCUUCUUGCUGUUGAAGCUCACAAGGUUCAUCUGAUAUUGCGAACUUGUCUUGUGUCAAGAGUGCUUGGAAUUAGUGUCAGGAGGCAAGGGAGCUUGGGAAGAUGCUGCUAGCUCAGUUGAUGCAUGAGUAAUUUGUGCAGCUGGUAGUACUGUGGUAGGUGUUGCAAGAACUAGGGCUGUCUCAGCUUGUUCGGUGGCAGCUACUUGUUUCUGUUUGGCUUUUUUUGCAACUUGUGUAGCAUGGGAUGCCGUGUUUGUCGAAUUUCCCACUAGACUUUGACCUUCUAUUGCACCAUCAGUACCAGCAGAAUCUACACGAUUCAUCCGCUUCUCAUUCCCUGGCAUUAUGUGUUUCUUCCUCUUUCUCUGUGCCAUGUUAAGUCAAGCCGACAAGAAAAACGAAUAACAAUUUAGUUCUUCAGAACAAAUUGAUGCGUGAUGCAGAUGAACUAAACUUUGAUGUUAGAAAACCACAUGAUAGGAGGAUGUAAUAUGUAUGAAAAACAGGAUGGAAGAGAUAACCAGAACUAUCAUGUGUAAACUAAGAAGAAGACAUUUCAUCAAAUUAGAAGCAAUGCAAUGGAAGGUAGACACCAUCUGAAAGAUGCUACAAAUAUCACUCUGCCAAGUUAAGAGUGUCUCAUCAUAAAUGGCGUUUAAACAAAUGUGAAGCAGUACAAGAAAUAAAUCAUAUGCAAGAUGCAAACAACAUCACACUACCAUGUUAGAGGUCUCUCGUCAUUAGUGCCAUUGCAUAUUCACAGCAUUCCAUAUUCACAGCUUAUGAUGUGUAAACUAAGGAGAAGGCAUUUCAACAAAUUAGAAGCAAUGAAAGCUAGACACCAUAUGAAAGAUGCAACGAAUAUCACUCUACCAAGUUAAAUCUGUCUCGUCAUAAGUGCCAUUUCAACAAAUUAGUAGUACAAGCUAGAAAAGAAUGUGAGAUGUAACCUAUACCACACUCCGAAGUCAAACGUGUCUGAUGAUAAGUGAUUGUUGCAGGUUACACAACAGUAGUAAUUUGAUGUAAGAACAUGGUGUGAUAGAUAGAUAUUGUAUGUUCUAGAAACAGGAACACGUGUCUUAUUCAAGUAUAAUGUGUAAAGUAAGAGAUGGAAUUCAACAAAAUUAGAAGCAAUACAAGCUAGACAUCACACAUAACAUGCAACCACAUAUAACAGUGCCAAGUUGGAGGGAGCACCGGUGAUGCUGCACUAGGGGAGACGUGCUCAUCAUAAACACAACUUUGUUGAGUGUCUAUGCAUGUGUUGUCUUGGAAAUCAUCUUGGGGGUGUGGAGGAGCAGAAACUGUAGAGGCCCUCCGUUCGUAAGGAGCACCUUUAUCCACUGCUUUGCUAACUUCCUUCCACUUUAUUGAUUUUGAAUUGUCAAGUAAAACCGACAAGAAAAAGCAAUAAAAUUCUCUCUUCAGAACUCAUUCAUGCAUGAUACUGACAAUCACUACUUUGAUGUAAGGAAAACACAUGAUACUAGGAUGGAAUAUGUACGAAAACAGGACGUCAUGGCAUGUUCACAGCUGUUUGUGUAAACUAAGCAAAAACAAUUCCAGCAAAUAAGAAGCAAUGCAAGCUAGACACCACAUGAAAGAUGCAACCAAUAUGACUCUGCCAAGUUAAAAGCGUCCCAUUAUAAAUGGAAUUUCAACAAAUUAGAAGCAGCGCAUGCUAUAAAUCAUAUGAAAGAUGCAACUAAUAUCACACUGCAUAUACUAAAGGUGUCUCAUCAUGUUGAUUGAUGCGAGAUACAAAAAAACAAUAGUUUUAUGUAAGUACAUGCUUAAUAGACAGAUGUACUAUGUACUAAAUACAAGAAGGCAUGUCACAUUAACAGGUAUAAUGUAUAAGCUAAGCAUACUAGCACAUGCAGUUUAACCAGAUUAGAAGAAUUACAAUCUAGACACCAUAUGCAACAUGCAACCACAUAUCACACUGCCAAGUUAGAGCAAGCAUCUUCGAUGCUAGUGUAGGGGAAAUGCGGUAAUCAACUACAGAGCUAUGUUCACUAUCUUCAUCUAGAAUUUCUGUUUCUUGAGAAUCAUGUCGGGAGGCUGACGCUGCAUUCUUUAAAUGAGGAGUAGUCCCCUUGCCUGCCUGCCUCGUCAUAAGUGAUUGAUGAGGGAUACACAAGAACAUUAGUUUGACGUAAGAACAUGGUUAAUACACAGAUGUACUAGUAUGUACCAAAAACAGAAAGGCAUGUCAUAUUCAAAGGUAUAAUGUGUAAGCUAAGCAGAUGCAAUUUAACCAAAUUGGAAGCAAUACAAGCUAGACAUCCGGCUGGAGUGGUGAGCAUGAUCAUGUAGGACCUGAGAGCCUGGUGGGAGGCGGGCUGCUUCGCCACCAUUGCAGCUUUUUAGUUGGCUUCCAGGUGAUGCCUAUAUUUGCUGGGCUUGUCACUGGCUCGGCCAGUGCCCUGACUAGCUAUUUGUCUUCUGGUGCUCAUGGGAUGGUGGUUCAUGUAAAAAAUAUCUUUCCUUAUCUUACCGACUUCGGCCUUUUGAAUACAAGCUAGACACCAUAUGGAACAUGCAACCACAUAUGACACCGCGAAGUUAAAGCAAGCACCUGGGAUGGUGGUUCAUUGCGAGCGAGGUCAUCAACUCCAGAGCUACGUUUACCGUCUCCAUCUGCUGACACUCCAUCCUUUAUAGCGUUGUAACGUGUCUUGCCUAGCCGCACACCAAGCUGGAGCGACUUCUCUCUUUUCUUUUUGGCUUCUAUCAUGGCAGCAGAGUCUGAAAUACCCUUGCAUAAAAACACAAUACUGAGAGUAAGGGUGAAGUGUGUGCAGAACUACUGCACUGUAAAAGUAGCAGAUAGAAGGUGGCUGAAAAAUAAAUGACAGGAGACAUAUGAUAGCUCUACAACAUUGCAUGGCAAAUAACAUUAGAUUCUACUCUGUAUGAUUUUGUAAUAUAUGAGCACAGGAAAUGUAGGUACUCCUCCAGCACACCACCACAUGUGGUCAUAUCUAAGAUAACAGUCGACUGGAAAUAAAUAUGUCAGUCGAUUUUUUUAAUGAACCGUCCGAUCUAUAAGGAACGGGCAGAUGGCCUUCGUCUACCUCCCACCGGUCACUGUUGACGAUCUUUAUCGAACUGCCAGCGACCACCGGCCCAGACCCCUGCCUCCGCCGCUCCGCCCUCCCAUCAACCUCACACCACCGCUGUGCUUGGCAGCGCCCCAGGCCAUCCCUUUAAUCCCGGCCGACCUCCAGAUCGGGCGCCAGUAGCUCUAGGCCGCACACGCCCCUAAGAUAAACACCAAGGCGCUGCUUCCCCGACGUAAUAGACGUACUAGCGCCUGUUACGCUGGGGAAUGCUUCCGAUAAUUGGGAAUCAACUGGCCAGAAAUUGAAAUUCAGGGGGGUGACGGACCUCUAGCUAAGGUGAAAUAGUAUAUGAGGAGAAACCUUGUGCAUCGUGAGUUACUAGGAAUAUCUAGUAUCAAGAAGAAGCGGUCAACUAGUGUCUUCUGUGGGAUGAAUACCGUGCAAGUAGAGACGUAAGAUUUGCAUGAAUAAGGGAAGAGGAGUACCUUUUUCGGUUGCCGGUGUGGUCACCUCCACAUGUCGCGCCAAUUUUCUUCUUUUUACCGGGGAAACCGAUGUUCUCUCCACAUGUCGCGCCGAUUUUCUUCUUUUUACCGGGGAAACUGAUGUUUUGGAGGGUGCAGGCUUGGACGAACCCAUGGCCAAAUUGUUGACUGUGUUGCCGUGGCCGUAUGUCGGUGGAGGGGAAGCAGAUCCGAGGCUGCGAAGGACGGCGUAGCAGGAACAGCUCCGGUGCGGUGGAGGGUGGCGAAGUUGGAGCGGCAGCGGUGAGGCAUAGGAUGGCGUGGUUGAACUGGCUUGGGUACGGACGGCUCGGCCUCGGCUUCUACUACUAGCCGUGGAGGGUGUUGCAGUUGAGGUUGCGGUGGACAACGACGUCGGGGUAUCGGCUCUAGCGUGAUGGAGGAGGGCGGCGGUUGAUGUGUGGGAUGGGGUGGCGGACGGAGGACGCCGGGGUUUCGCGACUGGUGAAGAGGUAGUUUUGGCGCCCACGGAGUACGAAUGGGGAAUCGGACGGGUGGGGGGAACCAUGUUUUGGUCUGGGACGCGCUUGUUUUUGGCUUUUUUGAACAGAAGAUGGGACGCGCUUGUUUGAAAUUUGGGGAAACUACAAACUUUUCCCCACUCUUAAAUUUCGGACCUACUGCGGGUCGGCGGUAGGAUGGUAAUCCCAGGUGUCCCAAAUAGUGGGCGGGAGCGAUUUCGGCCAAACGCAUGUGUGCUUAGGCGGCCAUUGUGUAUGAAUGUUUUUCGGAUGCGGUUGCGUGGCGUCUAGAUGAAGCUACAAACCUACCCCGGUUUAGACCUUUGGACGUCGGGCCGAUAGGUUUCACGGGUCGGAGUUAUUAGAAAAGUAAUUUCCUUGUACUACCAAACAUUGGUCUCACGCGGUUUCGGGCGAGUAGAGGCUCUUUUGGCGCUUCGUUCGAAAUUUUGAAACACAAGCAUUCACGUUUAGAGUACUCUUGAACUAUGAUGAUUGACCUAAAUAGACAACGUUAUAUUUGACCUUGUAUGUUUGAAAACCUCAUUAAAUUAUCUGCUUCUUUUUGAAAUUUUGACACUUGAAAAUCCUAUAACUACGAUCAUUUUGGAAUGGAGGAGCUAAAUUUGAAUCUAUUUUGUACACGACUACAUAUGCUAUUAUGUACAAAAUCAGAGCAAAGAUUGGUGCCCCCAUAAUUUUAGGUAUGGUUUACAAAUGCCGUGAUAUCAAAUUCAAAUAAUUGAAUGGACUUCAUGUUGAAUUCGAUUUUUUUAAACCACCUUAAGUUGAAUUCAAAUGUAUGCUAGUUCAUAGGUAGUAGCUAUUUAUAAUGUCCAUUGUGUAACUUUCGUAUGUAUAAUGUGCUUUACACACACAACAUGAACUAUACUCACGUUUAUAUUCGAUUGCUAAAGCGAUGCAUUGUCUGGAGUUCAAAAUACUAACUAUGUGGAUCAAUUGUGUCGAAUAAUAACAUAGACAUGCUCAAAUUCGAUAGAAUCUAGAUGUCUGAUGGAUCAAUGACCGCUCCUUACGCGAAUUGCAAAUAUCAUGAUCCCAUCCUAAUAUUUGGAUACAAUUUAUAUCUUUAAUCAAUGUCUAGAGUAGUCUUUUACGUGUAGUUUCACUCUCCAUCGGUGGUCUCUCACACAUGCUCACACACUCUCUCCCGAGGUGUCUUUCUCGCACACAUGCUCUAGAUAUAACCCUCCCUCCCUCUCGUAACCAUUUACAACUGUUUUCACUAACCUUUAUCACAAGCACUCUUCCUCUCGCAAACAUACACACGCACAAUCCUCAUUGACCCUUUCUAUAUACAUGCACCUGCCUACGUGUCUCAUGUACGCACAUUAUCUUUACGCCUGUCUCUCACGCAUUGUCUCACACCUCUCUUCCUAAUCGACGAGUAUGAUUCUAGCACAGCAUUUUGUAGGAUGCCCCUUAAAGUUAGGUUGGAUGAAUAGUAAUAUCAGAAUUAAAGGGGUUACCUUAGUCCAAGAACCUAGGGUUACAAAUCCUAGCCGGCUUUGUCAGUGGACACAGAGUCCUUCACAAUUCUGCUAUCUUUGUCUUGUACGACUAGUCAUCCAUGGGUCUUCCUAAAUGCGUCACGGCCGACCAAUGUGGCGCAGGACGGAACCGAACGAAGGGCCUCACCUCAACCCACCGGACCUCACGCGGUGACACACCCUCUGCCCCCACGUCUCAUUAUCUUCUCACACCCACACAUACCAACACAAACAGCACACACAUAGAAAAUUUCUCCUGGUGCCUCUAUUCUCUCCCCCCUUGCAUAUAAACACUCAAGGGAAUGGAAUCUCUUUUCGCGACGUCAUAUUCGUCUAUCUCUCCCUCUAGACCACUCUCGUGCUAUCUCUCCCACGCCCCCCCCCUGUCGGCCCCUCUAUCCAUGCCUCUCUCGAAUACGUAAUACACACACAUACCUCUCUAGGCCCCGCCAAAUGCAUCAACUACACAUUCACACAUGUUACAUCACGUCCCCCAUUGAUCUAAAAAUCCCUCUCUUCACAUUUAUUUCGUAUACAACAUUCCUUUUGAAUAAAGUGUGGCCAAACAAUUAUUUUAGAGUUUCUACAUAUAUACAACAUUACAAAGUUAUAUGGAGGAGUACGAGCACUAAUUUGCAUUGCAUGGUGCCCACAAUGAUAUUUAUUCCGCACUGUGAAUUUGUAUAUUUUUAUACUAUAUACAAAGUUAUUCAUAAUAAAGAGAAACGAAGAGCAUCUCUCUCCCCAUCGCAUACCCCCCUGUACGCCCCUUUCACGCAUGCCCACAAAACUAUCUCCAUGUCCUCUAAAAGUAAGCCCCAUAAAAUUCACGCAUGUUUCAUCUUUCUCUCGCGAUAUAUGCAAUGACGAUCAUUGUAUUUGAAGCGAAAGCAUGAUACAUACAUUGGACUUAAGAAUCCAUUCAUUACGGUCACCAUUUACGUUUAGUGGUUAUUAUACAGUCACGGGCUCACCGUACAACUCUGUAUUUGCUCAUGACAUGACUAGUUGACCAGUUAAACACUCCACGUGGCACCUCUAGUGUUGCAUCACAUUAUCUCACUACCAUCGUGCCCACCCGUCGACUUGUAUCUACUCUACAUCUACACUCUUAUAAAAUACACUCCUAUAAAAAACAAAGUUGGUGAUGAUGGUGUGCCUGCCAUCCUGCAAUAUAGGCCGUCCGAUUUAUAUCUGACGGAUAGGAAAGAAACUAUGGCAAUUUUGCAAAAAGGUACCCACACACCUCUCCACAUUUGCAAAUAAGGCCUUCCCUCGUUCAUCCUUUUCUCUCACAAGAUAAACAAGUCAUACAAAUGCAUGUUGAUGUUACGUGCAACGCACGGGCAUCUUGCUAGUAAGAAUGAAAACAAACGACAAAAAUAUAUUUGGACGGUGGUUCAAAGUCAUGACCGCGGGUACAACGGACAAGGUGGCCUUGUAUUGGUAUGUUGAGCCGUCUGUUUUAACACACAUGAGCUGGUGUGGUGAUUAUACACACACGCACGCAUGCACACGAACUGCAUCCACGCAACACUCACACAAACACGUGCACCCACGCACGCACGCAACACUCACACAUACACACGCAGCCACGCACGCACGCAACACUCACACGCACGCACACAACACUCACACGCACACACGCACGCAUGCAUGCACACACCAGUACACCACACGACCAACACACACUCUCACGCUCAAGUGCUCAACCUACACGUGCAUGCGCACACAUCAGGCCCCGACAGAUACAUACACAACCAGGUGACUCCCGCGCACGGGUUGGAGCCUUGUCGCGCCUGGGUAAAUUUGGUGUUAUCUGACCUUUUGCCUAUGCGAACUGACAGGUGGGACCCACAAGGAACGUGGUCAAUUUAACAAGUCAACAUGGCACCACGCAGACUAUUUGGCCGGUCAACAGAGUGCAAUCCGAUGCUGAACUGUGAGCAAGUGACCGUAUAAUCAUCGCAAAACAUAUAUAGUGACCGUAAUCAGCUUAUUCUGAAGUUCGGUGACCGUAUUACGCUUUUCUCUCUGUAGGCCCUCCAAAACUACAUCUCUACACGUUCUCGCAUGUUACAUCUAACAACUAUGCAAUACAGCACUACUACUACACUCUAACACAAUAAAUCAUAUGUGUUUUUAGUUUUACUAGAUAUCAUAUUGUUACUUAUAAUUAUUCAGUUUGCAUACAUUAAAAUUGCCUUUGAAAUGUAUGGCCAGUAUCAUCUACCGCGCGGGAAGAAUCCCGCCCUUUCCUGUUUAAUCGGGUUUGUAUCGAUGGAUCGUGCGAAACAGCAAAACUAUAGUACAAUACAGUAGAAGUGACAGUUCACUAGGCCGUCGUGUCGUCUACUCCUCCGUCGUAAGAGUGGAGAGCUCGCUUUCAUAAAUCUUCUAGUCCCUUUCGCCGACAUGUGGGACAUCAAGCUACCAGGUCCACAUGCCACACCAGAAUACAGCGCAGAGCAGCCGGGGUGAAGCACUCCAGUCAUGGUGCCGGCGUAGUAAUUAGCAAUGAGGCGUCAAAUCACAAAGCUGCACCUUUCCCAUAGUUAAGUUGGAGGGACGAAGCAACCAUCAUUUCACUCGUUGCUGAAUCCGCUUCUCCCUCAUCUUCUUCAACUUAACCACGUGUUGCUUCUCCCGUUGUUCUGCCUCAUGUGGGACGCGGAUCGGCUUGGUAAAGCACUGACACGUGGGACCGCAUGUUAGCAAACCGCCAGGACAAUGUCCUCCGAAAAUAAGAAUCCUAAUCCUAGACUUACAAAGGGCUACGUAGCCGCUACGUAUACUUUCCAUCUAAUCUAUAUAUGCCCCUGAUUUUCAGGUGGGGUGGGCCUAAUCCUAUCCUUUAAUCCAAUCAAAUAGUCCCAUAUCACAUCAGUUUGUAACUUUACGUAAACCAUUACGUGGAUGUACCAUUGCUCAAAUAAGAAACCUCCCCCGCCAUCCGCGCGGCAAAAUCACCUCCUUUCUAGUAAUCUCGAUUCUAUAAUUUUUUAGAUCAAUAUAAUUGAGAUUUGUAUAGAUAGCAGACAGGAGCAAAACCAAGUGGUACGGUUAAGUGCAUCCACAAUGUGUAGCCAAAUGUGAAAAUAGCUUUUGGCAUCGUGGGAACCAUUGACGGUGUUGCCAAAGCCAAAAGAUGGAACCGUAGCUCCCUGAUUGAUUGAUUGAAGGAAUAGAAAAAUGUAACGUCUCUCCUCUUUCUCCCAUGCUUGGAUGCGUGUAGUACAGUACAGAGCACAGAGUCUACUCCCCUGUCCCUUCUAUCACAAAUCAGAAAGCAGUGAGGCGUCAAAUCACAAAAGCACGGACGAAGCAACCAUCAUUUCACUCUUCGCUGACUCCGCUUCUCGAUCGUCUUCUUCGAGAAGCCAUCUCACCGCACUAGUACUCCUAGUAGUACUAGUAAAGGACUUCCUGGAUGCAAAUAAGGCGGUUGUCUCGGCUUGUAGGCGGCACUUGCGAACGACUUACCGUGGUCUCCCUCCAUGGUGUUCUCCGUCGAAAGCACUUCGCCAAACCACCAAAAAAAGAUAUCGUCGACGUCACCGCAAUGGGGAAGGAAGUCAAAUAUAGUUACUUCCUCCAUUUUUUGUACACAAUGCCAGUAUAUCAAAAUUACAAUUUGCAAAGGGCCACUAACACUAAUCGAGGCAAAAUUGUUGGGGUUAGCAACCAAGGACAUUAAUAUCCCCUGCAUGCAUGCGGAAGUGAGAAAGUUGGUUUGCAUGGCGCUGCAUUAAUCAAGCUAUGAGGAGUGAGAUUGUUAGCUCUCUGGUCUUUGGAGAAAAAAUACGCAUUAAUUGACACGUGAAAUGAGGAUUUGUAUCGAUUAAAUCCCGCGAAGGAAAGCCCCGCCUUUCUUUUUUAACACUAGUACUCCUAGUACGUACGUCCUUAUCCUGUUUGGGUCUAGGCCUUGCAUUGCCAAACUUCGCCACACAUUUUUGCCAAGCUUGCCUAAAGUUUUCACAAUGUGAAGGAGGUACACUUGCGCACGGCUGUCGUGGUCGCACCGCACCCUCACACGGUCGCUCCUACAUGCCGUGGUCGCACCGCACCCUCACACAGUCGCUCCUGCAUGCCGCAAACCCAACCAAGGGAACACACCUUCACUGACGUGUGCUGUCGCAUGUGAACAAACCAAACUCAUCCAUCCUAUCGCUGACACAUAAUUUUCAUUCAUAGAGUAUGUUUAUCCAACCGCAUGUUGGGGAGUAUCCAUACGGCCCGUGCGGUGGUUUGUUGGGGAAGAAGAAGAGGUGAGGAAGAAGGAAAGAAGGGUUAGGAGACAUAGGAUAUUCAUCCAACCGCCUGAAAUGGUAGACUGACCCAAGUCAGGCGACUUGUAUAACAAAUAUAUGUUUUUACACAGCAAAAGAUCCAUGAAAACAACAACAUAAAGAAAAACUAUCACUGCUCGCGGAAACAGACGACCUCGUCGUCUUUGGCUGCCGGCGCGAACCAGCCGUCGCUGCCGACGUGUGUGUCCGCACCGUGGUUGUCCUCAUCCUCCAGCUACUCGUUCAAGUGGAGCGUGCGGGCACUCUGCACGGAUGAGAGCACAGCCCGGUUCAAGUCGAGGAUGUCCGGUUCUGCCUACAGGAGGGCCUCGAUGGCAGCGGCAUCCGCGCGCUCCGCGUCAAGUCGAGCCUCCGCCGCCCGGUUCAAAUCCAGGAUGUCCGGUUCCUCCUGCAGGAGGGCGUCGAUGAGAGCGGCAUCCGCGCGCUCUGCGUCGAGUCGAGCCUCUGCCGCCCGGUUCAAGUCCAGAACGUCUGGUUCCGCCUGCAGGAGGGCCUCGAUGGCAGCGGCAUCCGCGCGCUCCACCUCAAGUUGAGCCUCCGCUGCCCGGUUCACAUCCACGACAUCCGGUUCCGCCUGCAGGAGAGCCUCGAUGGCAGAGGCAUGCGUGCGCACCGCGUCGAGUUGAGCCUCUGCCUCCCGGUCCUCCUUUAGUAUCACCAUGUUGAACCGCUGGUCCGCCUGCACCAUGGCGGACUCGAACGCAAACACGAAGUCGACGUCCAUCGUCUCAUACCCAUCGGGGGCCUUCUGCGCCGCGACCUCCGCCAUGAACAUUGUAUCGGCUUCCUCCUCCUCGUAGCUUGGCUCCAGCGAACUCGGGGAUUGGCCCGCCGCAAAGCGAGCUUGGGAACAUAGGUCUGUGGCGCCGACCGCUGCCGUGAUUUUUGCGCGGCGCUCCGGCGUCAGCAUCUUGUAGUAAGUGAUCUUGUGGCGCACCAUGGCUUUUCGGUGAACUAGGGGACGCUUGAUGCGGGCUAGGGGAUCGAAAGGAGGGAGAAUGGGCUGGAGAUUUGGUGUGGUUUUAGGGCAGUGGCUGGCGUAGGCCGAGCAGCGAAGGUUCUGGUGUGAAAUCGGUUUUGACUGUACAUCGCUCUUGUCGCGUUCGCGUUGCAGCCCGGCACGCUGGACCCUCCACGUCGCACACCGAAUGGAACGCGCUUCGUCUUGCGUUUUCGGUCGCUUGUGGGACCGCAGUUGAGAGAAAACCGACGUCCCUCCCCCUCCCCCGCCCGCAUCAUUUAUUAUACCACCACUCCCUCCGUUUUAUGCGGAGUAAAUAAAAACAGAUGGAGUAUACUACGGAUGAGGAUCCCCUGACAUGGCCGAACCCAUUGAGUAACUGACAUGCGGGGCCUAGCAAGCAUGGGGUCCGCCAGUAAGUGACCGAAAGGGAGGGUAAGGCAGGGAUACCUACGUCAGUGGACCCACUUCCACUAAACUACUUUGACCAAAUGUUAGAGUAAUAAUAUAUGACAUGCAACUUACACAAAUGUUAGAGUAAUGAUAUAUGACAUGCAACUUACACAAAGCAUACAAGGUCUAAUGUGUUUUUCGAGGCUAACUUCACUACAAAAAAAUACACUUCCGUGAUGAUACGUGUUUGUCACAGUAGGUCACGUUUUUUGUCAUGCAUGUACAUCCAUCACAAAUUUAUGACAGAAUCAAGAGUCAUACCUUUGUUGUCGUAGAAGUGUUCCAUGACAUUACCAAAAUUAUCAUCACGGAAGUGUCACUUCCAUGACGAUAAAUCGCGCUUCACAAAAGUGCUUUCGUCAAGGGUGACCGACACGUGGCAUCCACCGUAACGGAACGCCGUUAAGCUAUCGGGUCAGGUUUUGGAUCCAUAACCCGUUAAGAGCCCCGUCCAAUGGGAUAUUUCCGCGUGUAAAAUUCUUAUUGGCCGGACGAAACACGUGUCAGCUUGUCAGUGGGUCAGAUAGGCGCGUAUGACACAUCGACACGUGGCACGGCCCAACAGAGGCCCAUUCCUGUGAAAAGGCCGGCCCGUUUGACUUGAUCAAAAUCUGGCGGGCCGGCCCAUGGAAAGCCUGUUAACGGCAUGUUCGCAUAUAGCCCAUUUACACCCCGCUAACCCAAGGCCCAUUACGCCUUAUCCGAAUUAGGCCCAGGAGCGUCAUCUGGGCCAUUCAAUAUGAUCCCAGCCCAUUUUCACUUCUGGCCCAUGUAUGGCCCAUGACGUCUUUCAGCCCAUAUGAGGCCCUAUGUAACUCUUGGCCUAUUAACGGCCCGUGGUGAAACUGGCCCGUAAUGAACAGUGUAUCACUUUACACCCAUUAACGGCCCGUGGUGAAACUGGCCCGUAAGGAACAGUGUAUCACUUUAUACCCAUUAACGGCCUGUUAUUCCGUUGGGCCGUUUCUAGCCCAUGUUAUCCUUCGGCCUUCUCAGAGCCUAUUUAUUCUUGGGCUCAUUUCCAGCAUUCGUUUACUUACGGCCCGUUACUAUCAUUUUCUGCUUGUGGGCCAAAUUCAUCGCGUGGUUACAGUCGGCCCGUUUGUGGUCCGUUAAUACGUUGGGCCGUUUUCAUAGCAUCAUCAAAUACGGCCUAUUAACGGUGGCCCGUUACGGUCGGCCCAUGAACGGACGAUUCCAACUCUAGCCCGUUUACGGCCAUAAUGCGGCCUGUUAUUGGCCCAUGUUUGACCAAUCGAUCAUACGGCCCGUAUAAUGCGCAUUGAUGAUACGGCUCGUAGAAGGCCCAUUGUUUCUACAGCCCGUAGAAGGCCUACUGUUUCUACGGCCCGUAGAAGGCCCACUGUUUCUACGGCCCGUAGGAGGCCCAGUGUCACUACAGUAAAUAUUAUCCCAUGGUUAUUGUGGCCUAGUUUUAAAAAAUAGGUUAUUGCAGCCACUAGUUAACCGCAGAAAAAUAACUGCAAUGACUAGAAGCAAACAAAUAAACAAGACAACAAGGAAAUAAAUAAGCAAGCAACUAACGCUAGGCUAUCACGGCUAUUACACAUAUUACAUCCACUGGGCAUCAAAGUUCGCCACCAGUGCAAAUAUAGGGAACAAACCAGCAUAUCAUAUACACUGGCCGUCAAAAUUGGCCACCAGUGCAAAUUAACGUGGCAGCAAAACAAGAGCAUAACUGAAACAACAUCAGAAGAGCUCAAGAAAUGUUAUCCUGGGUAUCCACCAUGCAGGCAAUAAGCUUAGCAAACUGAUUAGCUUUGUCCUAUUUGGCGCUAAAAUCCUCCAACGCUUGUUGUUGCACCAGAAAGUAUGCAUCUGAAUGCUCCAGGAACUUCCGCAGUCCUUCCGCUUCUUGUCGCAGCACAGCUGAUCGAUGUCUUUCAGCUUGUAGUUGAGACUCAACAAACCGAACUGAUUCAGACAAUGAGUUUGAAUAGCUUGUGCAAGCGGUAGUGGCCAGUAACUCCAACACUAAACCAAGACAGGAUGUGUCACUAUCCUGAACCUUAUCUGCAUUACUUCCUUUACCGUUGCUUAAUAAGGCACUCUUCCCCAAUAUUCUGUCAACAUUCUAAAAGAAGAAACAAGCAGACACAUAACAAGUUUAGCAUGUACUAGUAUAUGAAACUCAUUUCGGUGAACCAGUUCAUUAGUAAGGUCGAUAGGAUUAAACUACCAAGUCUACUAUUGCCAAGUACUAGUACAUAAUAAAAGCAUAAAACAAACAUAUAUCUAUGUCAUAUGGUAGCAAUGGAAUCUUAAAUUAGAAUAGUUGUUCUUCAGGUUUAGGCACUUGUUCUACAUGAACAAAGUACAGUAAGACGCAAGAAUAUAAUACUUAAAAAAUAGAAAAUGAGCUCAUAGACCUUACCACAUUCUUGGUUCGGGACCAGUACAGAAUAAGGCGUUCCUAGUCAUCGUCCAGUAAAUGUGUCUCAGGAGAACAUAAGGGAAUUUGAUGAGUUUCUUUGCCGGUGAAGUACGUUUUCUUCAGGUAAUUCCGAUACUGCCACCAAGCAUUCUUGAAGAUAGCAGAGGUAUUAGCACAGGUUACCUCAUCCCGAGUUUCCAAAUCGGUCCUUCUCUAUAGAGAAAAAUGGGAAAAUUUGCUGUAUUAUAACCAUCAUGGAGGUGGGAUGUAUGGGACAAAGCAAAGUAAUUGCCAUGAAUAACAUUACUUACACGUAACUCCUGGAAAAACACCUACAACUGGCAUUUUCCUUCAUCUUCAGUAUAAUAUUUCCAAGAUGGGAAGAUACGCACAUACGAUUUAACAACAUCAAAUGCGAUAGAUGCUAAACUACGACUAGCUGGUUGUGCUUCCUCCAGAGGAAUAGGCGUACUAACUGGUGGAGUUGGGGUUCGCCGUGAUAGUACUGGCCCUUUGGGCACUGGAGCUGCCUUACUAACUGCUCUUGUUUGGGAGCUCUGUGGUGGAGAUGGUGAUGUGUCAACAGGAACUGGGUUACUAUCGGCUGGGGUUGUGGUUAGAUUGGGUGAAGCUGGUUCUCUGUCCAUCGUAGUAGGGGUACAAUCUGCGAGAGUUUGGGUUAUGUGUGGUAGGGCUGGUUCUUGUGCAUGUACAACCGGGGUGCUCUCUCCACCAAGAGGUAGCACUAUUUUCUUUGAAGACCAUGUUUUUAGUCCGUUAGAUACUGGCAUCACCCGCUCCAAUUCAAAUGGCUGAUAAACAGGAAACAUAGUUGAAUGUACAGACAUUGUAUGAGAGACAGAUGCAAUAGAUAGUGUGGAAAAAAGAGAGCAUGAAAUAGUUGACAUGUAUAUUGUUUAACUAAAACGGAUAGCAUGACAUAAUUUCACAUAUAUGAUGUCUAUCUAAACUGGAAAACAUAGCAUAACAUAAUUCAAAGAUAUGAUGAAUAACUAAACAUGAUCGCGUGACAUAAUUUACCUACAUGUUAUCUAAGUAAUCAGGAUCGCAUCAUUUAAUUCACAUAUAUGAUUUAUAUGCUAAACAGAGGGCAUUCGAUAUGAUGUCUGAACUAAGAACAUGGUGUUGAAUAUUGUGUAUAUGAUGUCUAAACUAUGCAAUGCAAGACACUGUAUGCAUGACAUGAGCAGUAUAACCGUGCCAAGUUAGAUCAUACACCUCAGUUGGGGAAUAGGACUGGUCAUCUGUCUCUGAAUCCAUGUCUGAGCAGCUAUCGGGACCCAACAAGAGAUCUGCUUCGACAGGUAGCACUGUCUGCUCUGAAGGCCUUGUUUUCACUCCAGAUUUUUCCAUCUCCCACCCAAAUGGCUGAUUCACAGGAAGAGUAGUUUAAUGUACAAACAUUGUCGACAAAUGGAAAUGUAAUGAAGAAAAGGAUGGGCAAGAUAUCAUUCAAAUAUAUGAUGCCUGGUUAAACAGGAUGGCAUUGCACAUUUCACAUAUAUUAUGGCUGGCUAAAAGACAUGAGACUGCAUAAUUCCCAUAUAUGAUAUAGAAACUAAACAGGUGGCAUUACAGAACAUGUCUAAACUAUAAGUGCAUCUAGUGCCACCCCUAGUUGGUUUUGGAGUAUUGACGACAAAGUUGGUUGAGGGACUAAUGCGUUUGUGAGAAUUGCAGGAUAACGCAGGUAGUGUCCCUCAUUCAUUCGGUUUACCUACCGGAGAUGACCCCUAAAAAUGUAUGAAGACAUUGAAGACAAUGGUGGUAUGAGAAGAUAUUCAUAUUGAAGACUAUGACAUGAGAAGACAUUGUGUGAAGACUAUGGAGCGCGAAGACUGUGUGGUUUCGUUGUUUCUUUUUCUGCUUUGUUGAGUCAUAGGAACCACCAUACUGUUAAGUGGGGUCCAAGUGAACUAAGUCAGAGUGACUGAAGUGAUGCUCAACUCAAAUCCUAUGUCUUCGAGCGAAGACAAUGAGAGCAAACCUUAUCCAGAGCUGGAUGAGUCAGCUUUACUUGUAGCCCAAGUAAAGUUGCCGCGUGUGUUUGAAAUCUGACCGUUGGAACACGUGUCAGUUCCUUAGUGACCCAGGGUCAUUUUGGACAAAUCAGGUCGGGUUGCCUAGUGGCCAUAAAUAGCCCAGCCUCUACACCAUAAAUUGGCGGCUGCUCAGAGUUUGUGCACGGCUUUUGUCGUUUGAGAGCAACCCACCUCGAAGCAUUUGAGAGAGAGAAAAAUCCUUGCGAGGACAAAGCCCAAACACCCAGAGCCAAAGAGUGUUAGGCAUCACUGAAGUCUUUCUGUCUGUGUGACCUGAAGACUUAUUACACUUGAGGACUGUAAAUCCUCCAGCCAGUUAGGCGUCGCGUUCUAAGCAUCCAAGAGUCAUUGUGUAUUGCCGGUGAGGGAAGUCUGUGAAGGUUUGGAAGUCUCCCUUGAAGACUUACCAGAGUGAUUGCGCGAGGACUGGGUGUCCUUAGCUCAAGGGGAAUAAGGUGAAGACAUGGUCUUCUGAGUUAAAUCUCAGCCUCCCUAACCAGACGUACAGUUGUCACAGCAACUGGAACUUGUCUAACAAAUCCUGUGUCUUCAACAAGCAACUGGUUCUAUCCCUUCCCAACCUUACUUUAGUUUGUCUUCGUGAAGUCAUUGCCUAUCUGUGUAUCUGUUUGACUUCAUUGCUUGACUACUACUGUUGAUUGGCUUCAUACUAUCUUCCAUCCUGAUCCUUUCUACCUAGCUGCUAUUAGUCCCGUACUUUCAUAUCUUUGUAUACUUGACUAUGGCUUGCUUUGGGUAGUUUAUCUUCCACUGCAUUACAAUUAGGUCAUUUCUGUUGUUUGUCUUCGAAACUUCCUAGUAUUGAAGACUUUCGUAAAAAUCGCCUAUUCACCCCCCUCUAGUCGAUAGUAGCACUUUCAAUUGGUAUCAGAGCAAGGUACUCCCUUGUUCUGUGUGAUUCGGUUUAACCACCUGGAGUUUCAGCUAUGUCGACUGCAGGGAUAAUCAAAGUCUCCGCUGCUUGCCCCGUGUUCAAUGGAACUGAAUAUCCCUACUGGAAGAAUAAGAUGCGUAUGCAUCUUGAAGCCAUUGAUGUCGACCUCUGGUAUGUCAUCAAGAAUGGCGUACCCAAAACUGGUGAAGGUGUCACCCCCACUGAUGUCAAGAAGUUCAUUCAACUGGACUCUACUGCAAAGAACAUCAUCUGUGGUCAUCUGACCAAAGGACAGUAUGGCCGUGUGAGUGCUCUGGAAACGUCAAAGCUAGUCUGGGACUGGCUAUCCAAGGUCAACGAAGGCGUCUCAACCCAGAGAGAUCAAAGAAUCAGUGUUCUUCGCAACCUCUUCAACCGCUUCAAGAGAAACGACAAUGAAAAUGUCCAGCUGACGUUUGAUCGCCUCACUGAUAUCACAAAUGAACUUCAAGCUCUUGGCGCAACUGAGAUUACCAAGCAUGAAAUCGUCAAGACACCGCUGAGAUCACUUGACAGCUCCUUUGACACCCUUGCCCUCAUGAUACAAGAACGUCCUAACUUCAAGACACUCGAUCCGUCUGAUAUACUUGAGAGGCUCAACACACAUGAGUUCCAGCUAUCUGAGAAAAGAGAUAUAUAUGGCCCAAACUAUGGCCGAACUCGUGCUUUGAAGGCAAAAGUCGUUUCCUCAUCUGAAGAAGAAUCUGACUGCAGUUCUGAAGAUCCUGAAGACAUUGGAAGGAAACUUGCUAUGCUUGUGAAGAAGUUCCAGAAAGUCACAAAGAAGAAAGGCUUCAAAAAGUCUUCACGAUCGAGCUCAAGGAAUGAUGAAGCUUCCACCCAUUAUCACAAGAAGAGAACCUGCCACAAGUGCAAGAAACCUGGUCACUACAGAUCUGAGUGUCCACAGUGGGACAAUGAGAAGAAGAAGAAGAAAAACAAGGAAUAUGAUUCCGAUGACAACAACAAGAAGAAAUCCUCGAAGUCCUCUAAGUCUUCUUCCAAGUCUUCAUCUGGCAAGGCUCGUGCUUUUCUUGGCAAGGAAAUGGAUUCAGAGGAGGAGUCUGCUUCGGAGGAGGCGGAGGUGGAGUCUGGAGAGGAGUCUGACCCUGGCAUUGCAAGUCUGGCUCUAGCCACAGCCUAUGUCGCCAAGUCCAUCUUCAACACUGAAGACAAUGACUUCCACACCAACGCUAAAGCUAAUGACGAAGACGAUCCUACUCCCACUACUGCUUUAUGGCACGUGGUGCCAAGGUAAAAUCACGCGAUGCUUACUUUCAAGCUUCAAGUAAAGAUGACUCUGAUUGUGAAUCCAAACCCAGCUACAAAACACUUGCUAAAAUUGCAACUGAACAACAAAAGGCUAUGGAACAUACUCAAAAACUGUUAGACAAAAGCGAUGACCUAUUGGACGCUGAAAUGACACGUUCACAGUCCUUAGUUGAUGACAUAAAAAAUCUUCAUGCUAAGUACCAAGAACUUGAAGGUCGUCAUGAAUCGCUCUCAACUACUUAUGAAAGGCUCUCCUAUGAUUAUCUUCAAAGGAAACAAGAGCUUGAGAAAUUGAGAACGGCUCAUGAAGAUCUUCAAAAGGUGAAUGAGUCACUUCGCUCUCAACAGACUAGUUCCGCUCAAGAUGUAUUUGAACUACCAUGUCUAAAAUGCAUUGAGCAUGAUAACGCUACAUCUAUUGCUGAAUGUUCCACUGCUACUACUGUUUCAUUGUCUUCACCUACUAAUGUGGUUACUAACCCCUCUGCGGAGGAUACCACUACUGUUGCUGAUGAAAAUGCUAUGUUGAAGACAUUGCUUGAAACUGGAAUGUACAAAAGUUUGAAGGGACAUCAGACUCUCUGCGAUGUCCUCAAAAAGCAGAUUCUGAAUCGAAACCCUAGGAAAGAGGGUGUUGGGUUCGAAAGGAAAAUGAAUGUUGAUGGCUCAUACUGGAAGCCUGAGCAGUACCCCAAAACCACAUGGGUUGCUGCAAAGGAACCUUCAGUAGAUCCUUCCACCUUAUCUGGCUUUAUCUGUGCUAAUCCUAUUAUCAUUGAUGAAUCCUUUGAUGCAAACUAUAAGCUGUUCAAAAAUCAGAAUGGUGAAGUGUUUGCCAGGUACAUUGGUACUAACUGCAGGAAUGGACCACCUAUGAAGAAGAUCUGGGUACCAAAGCAGUACAUUGAGAAUCUUCCUGUGAAUGUCGUCAUGACACCACCAAGGAAGAAGACAAACCCCAGACCAAUAGCUUCAUGUGGCCCAAAGGCUUCAUACAGAUACAGGACUCACAUGAGUCACCCUAAUGCCAAUGUUUUGCAAGGAAAUCAUGCUCAGACUUAUGAAUAUGAGCGUGUAUCUUCGAACCGCUAUGUUCAUAGGACUAAGAACUUUUCUGCUUAUUCAUAUGAGUAUCAUUCAUCUCCUGCAAGGCUAUUUGCUAGGGCUUCAAAGCCAAAAUUCUCAGAUGCUGCACUAAGACUCAUUGCUUCUAAGCCACCACUGAAGAUGUGGGUGGCAAAGAAGAACUAACUCUCUUUCGCAGAAAACGGUCUCCAGCCAGCAAUCAAUGGCGUCCGAUACUAUUGCUGGGGACCUAAAACUCAUUUAGGACGCACGAUAAAAUGUCAUUCUAUGUACUUCACAUCUGAAUCUCUUAUCAGUCAUACUAUGCCCUAACAUUGAUAUAAGCUGUGACUGUCCCUAUAUGUGUCAAAUGCUUAUGCUUCACAACACUCUUGUGAAGCCUAUCCUCCUAACUGCACUGUAGGGUACAUCACCAAAAGCUUCAGAAUGGAUUAUGGACAGUGGAUGCACAAAUCAUAUGACUGGUGAUCGAAGUCUUCUCGUGGACUCAACCUUACGUCCAUCCGACAAGAGUCACAUUACAUUUGCUGACACUGGUAAAAGCAAGGUAUUGGGUCUAGGUAGAAUUGCAAUCUCAAAGGAUCAACACAUGGAUAAAGUGAUGCUUGUUGAAUCCCUUGGUUUCAACUUAAUGUCUGUCUCAAUGCUUUGUGACUUGAACAUGAUUGUGAUAUUUGGAAAAUAUCGUUGCCUUGUACUAAUGGAAUCUGAAAAAUCUCUAGUCUUUGAAGGGUAUCGAAAAGAUGAUCUAUACAUGGUAGAUUUCUCAGCAGGUCCACAGCUUGUCGUAUGUCUUCUCACAAAAGCUUCAGAAUGCUAGCUCUGGCAUCGAAGGCUAGGACAUGCUGGUAUGAGGAACUUACACUCACUCGUCAAGAAGAAGCAUGUCAUUGGCAUUGAGGAUGUCAAGUUCAAAAAGGAUCAUCUGUGUGGUGCCUAUGAAGCUGGAAAGAUGACAAGGGCAAAGCACCCCUCGAAGACAAUCAUGACAACAUCUCAACCCUUCGAGCUGUUACACAUGGACUUAUUUGGACCUACUCACUACUCCACCCUCGCAACAACUGCCUGUCUCUAUGGCUUCGUCAUUGUUGAUGACUACUCAAGAUACACAUGGGUUCAUAUAAUUCUUUACAAGACUAAAGUGCAAGAUGUCUUCAGGCGCUUCGCAAAUCGAGCAAUGAACAAUUAUGGUGUGAAGAUCAAGCACAUCAGAAGUGACAAUGGCACUGAAUUCAAGAACACUGGACUUGAUCUGUAUCUGGAUACAAUGGGAAUCACUCAUGAGUUCUCUGCUCCAUACACACCUCAGCAAAAUGGCAUCGUUGAGCGCAAAAACAGAACCCUCAUUGAGAUGGCUCGAACAAUGCUAGAUGAGUACAAGACACCAAGAAAGUUCUGGCCUGAAGCUAUUUAUACAGCAUGUCACAUCAUCAACCGUGUGGACAUCCAUAAGCUGCUGAACAAAACAUCUUAUGAGCUACUUACUGGCAAGAAGCCAAACGUUAGUUACUUCAGAGUAUUUGGAGCUAGAUGCUAGAUCAAGGAUCCUCAUCACAAGUCAAAAUUUGCACCUAAGGCUCACGAAGGCUUCAUGCUUGGCUAUGGAAAGGAUUCACACUCCUACAGGUCUUCAACCUUUAUCUCUACAAAAUCGUUGAAACUAUGGAUGUGAAAUUUGAUGAAACCAAUGGUUCACACAGAGAGAUUCUGCCAAGUACACUAGAUGAAGCUCCUUCAAACGAGUCUAUCAAGCUGAUGAGAACUGGUGAAAUCAUGCCCUCUAAAGCACAGCCUGAAGAGGAACUUAUCAUCUCUGCACCAAAUCAACCUGAAGACAAUGCUCAGACCGAAGACAAUCCUCCCAAUGAUGACAAUGAUCAACCAGAGCAAAAUCUUCGUCCUGUUCAUCCUCGUGUUGCAAAUGAAGUUCAAAUAGAGAAGAUAAUUGACAGCAUCAAUGCACCUGGUCCGCUCACUCGAUCAAGAGCAACACAACUAGCAAACUUCUGUGGGCACUUUUCAUUUGUGUCUAUAUCAGAACCCAAGAAAGUUGCUGAAGCUUUUAUGGAACCUGAAUGGAUUCAAGCCAUGCAAGAAGAACUUCAAUAGUUCCAACUGAAUAAUGUCUGGGAACUCGUCAAGCGACCUGACCCUUGCAAGCAUAACAUUAUUGGAACAAAGUGGACAUAUCGAAACAAGCAAGAUGAGCAUGGUCAAGUCGUCAGAAACAAAGCACGUCUUAUGGCUCAAGGAUAUACUCAAGUUGAAGGAAUUGACUUCGAUGAAACAUUUGCUCCUGUUGCUAGGCUUGAAGCUAUUCGCAUACUGCUAGCCUACGCUAAUCAUCACAACAUCUUGCUAUAUCAAAUGGAUGUAAAGAGUGCAUUUCUCAAUGGCAAGAUUGAAGAAGAAGUAUAUGUCGCACAACCACCUGGCUUUGAAGAUCCAAAACAUCCUGAUAUGGUGUACAAGCUAAACAAAGCACUGUAUGGCCUCAAACAAGCUCCUCGUGCCUGGUAUGAUACAAUCAAAGACUUCCUGAAGAGCAAAGGCUUCAAACCUGGAUCCCUCGAUCCCACACUCUUCACGAAGACAUAUGAUGGUGAACUGUGUGUGUGCCAAAUAUAUGUGGAUGACAUAAUCUUCGGCUGCACCAACCAGAAGUAUAGUGAUGAGUUUGGGUACAUGAUGCAAGAGCAAUAUCAAAUGUCCAUGAUGGGUGAGCUGAAGUUCUUCCUUGGUCUUCAAAUUCGUCAGCAAAGAAAUGGCAUCUUCAUAUCUCAAGAAAAAUACCUCAAAGAUUGUCUGAAGAAGUUUGGAAUGGAAGAUUGCAAAGGCUACACGACGCCAAUGCCAGCCAAACACCAUCUUGGUCCUGACGACAAUGGUAAAGAGUACGAUCAAAAGGUAUACCGCUCCAUGAUUGGUUCUUUGCUUUAUUUAUGUGCAUCUAGGCCAGAUAUUAUGCUUAGUGUUUGCAUGUGUGUUCGAUUCCAAGCGGCACCAAAGGAAUCGCAUCACUUAGCUGUGAAGCGAAUUCUUCGAUAUUUGGCUUACACCCCAACACUCGGAUUGUGGUAUCCCAAGGGCUCAAAAUUUGAUUUGGUUGGAUUCUCGGAUGCUGAUUAUGCUGUUGACUAGGUGGAUCACAAGUCUACAUCAGGCACAUGUCAUUUUCUUGGUAGAUCACUUGUCUGUUGGUCUUCAAAGAAGCAGAACUGUGUAUCACUCUCAACUACUGAAUCUGAAUACAUUGCUGUUGGAUCCUGUUGUGCUCAGCUUCUAUGGAUGAAGCAAACUCUCAAGGAUUAUGGCAUCAACCUGAAACAAGUACCUCUCUUCUGCGACAACGAAAGUGCCAUCAAAAUAGCCAACAAUCCAGUCCAACACUAGAAGACAAAGCACAUUGAAAUUCGUCAUCACUUUCUCAGAGAUCAUGUUUUGAAGAAAGAUAUCGAUAUCAUUCACGUCAACACUGAAGAGCAACUGGCAGAUAUCUUCACAAAGCCCUUGGAUGAGAAAAGGUUUUGCAAGUUACGGUGUGAGCUAAAUAUCUUGGAAUCCUCUAAUGUCCUGUGAUCAGGCACACCUCCUAACACUUAUGCAUGUUGAUGACUUAGAUGUGCAACACACAAAGUAAUGUAUAUCUUCAAUCAAUGAAGAUUUACACUCUGAGUGUGAAUACAUUAACAUGGAAUUUGACUUCGGAGCACCACGAUAAUUGUGCGCUGUGUCUGGGUCUAAUACUUCCUAUACGGUGGGUAACGCCACCACCAACUUUCUCUGCUUGAAGUGUGUAACGCCCCGAGACCGACGCUCCAGAAGACUUCCAUAUUUUCGUGAUCACCGUGUGUUUCUUUUGUGCUUGCUCUUUUAUUUUUUGCAUUGCAUCUUGUCAUCAUGCCAUCAUGUCAUUAAUCUUUGCAUCUCAACUCAACAAAUAAAUUGCAUAGAUCGUUGAUCUAUUUAAAUCGAGGGAUAUUCACAUGGUGAUUUCUCUUUAAAACAUAUUCAAAGUAUCCUACUAUUAUUAGGGAGCUAUAAUAAAUAUUUCAUUUUUUUGGAAUGGAUCAUAACACACUUGCAAAUAAAUCCCAAUGCCUUUGUUAUCUCAAUUCUUGGUCUCCAACUCUACCCAUAAAUUCUUUCGUCAUUUUCCUGAGCUCCACCAAAUUUCUCAACAUUUUUUGGACAUACCGAAUACCCACUUCUUUCUCACACUCAUUUGAAUUGAAUUCAAAUGAGGUGGAAUUCAACUCCACGCCCACGCUCCCUUUCCAUUUUCUUGGAUCAAGCUUAUUUUUGUGAGUCCAGGGAAAUUAACCCCUUGCGCAUAUUCUUUCCCUAACCCUUUCUUUCUUUCCUUCUCUCUAAUUCUUUUCUGUUAAGGAAAAUAUGAGAGGAAGGGAGAGAGAGAGCCUGCACACGCUGACCUCUUGGGCCUAACCAACCAGGCCGGCCCAACCAUCCCCCGCAGCCCACCUAAACCCUAUCUAACCCUAGCCUCCCUACGCUCGCUCCCUCGUCCUCCCACUCCGCCGCCACACACACGCACGCACACAUCUAGCGCCAGGAGGAGCGCCCGCGCUCGAUCCCCAUGGCACACCUCCCCUGUCAGUGACGCCGCCGUCCUUCCUCUUCUGCGCCGGCGCCGUCCAUCCUCGUCACCCGAGCGCCCGAGGAGAGGAGCUCCUCGAGCAUCUGCGCCCGCAACCGUCGUCCUCCACGCCCAGCAGAAGUCCCGCCUGCCUUGCCGUUCGACGCGCCGCAUGGAGAGCCUCGUCUCCGUCCAGUACUCGCGCCCGACCUCCUUCCCCUGCAUGACUCCUUCCACCGCGACCAAGAUUGCUGCCUCCCCGUCGACCUUCCUCUCCUGCUUCGCCUCGCCCGCGCCUCCUUCUACCGGCCAUCCCCAUGGCCUCGAGAUCCUGCGCCGACAUCCUCCUUCAUCAGCUGCUCAUGAGCACCUCCUUCCCCAUGGUGCUGUGACCCCGUAACUGUUCCCGCUAAUGAGUGUCGCUCGAAGCCAGCGCCUUGCCUUUGUUUGGAACCAGGGGCCGACGCCCCCAUCGCCCGUCAUCUUCGAGUCAAGCUACCGUUGUCGCUUCCUUCGACUAAUGCUGCCGCCUCUUUGCCAAUGCCAUCGCUGAGCUACCCCAGGACCCGUGGAGUCAUGCACGGAAAAAACCAAGUCCGAAGACUACCGUGGCCGUGUAUCUCGCCCAGUACCACUACGGUUUAUCGAGACCGCCAAGUUCGACUACACGGUGACGCAUCAAGUACCUCUACCGCGGCUACGGGAUCGCGAAGAACGCAUACCUCGACGACCCGCCAAGUACCCCUUCGGAUCGUCAAGUUCAUCUACCACGUGUACCACUACCGUCGCAAGAAUCGAGCCCUCUGCCAGGAGAUUGGGGGAGAUGCUCUGUUCCGCACAACGAGCUGGCGAAGCUCCAAGCGGGGGGAUAUCUCCCUCCGGCCUUCAUGGUUCCGGUUCGAGCCGGGCUGGCGACCUACCAAGGUGGGAAGCAAGCGGAGGCUACCCCAAAUCCCAACAAAGGGGAGCGGGUAUGCUUCGUCCCCUAUCUGAUAAGGGGACUCGGAUUUCCUAUACAUACGUUCCUCCGCGGGCUCCUGGAGUUCUACGGACUCCAGCUCCAUCACCUUACGCCCGCCUCUAUCCUGCAUAUCACGGGUUACGUAGCCCUUUGUGAGCUAUUUCUGGGCAUCGAGCCCCAUUUUGCACUAUGGAAAAGGUUGUUCUGUCUCAUACCCCGUUCAUGAGGGGUCCAUAUAUCAAGUGGGCGGCGCCGAAAUAUGGCGCAUUGCCGGUACCGGAUAUCCAUCCGGAACCCCUAAGAAGGCGUCCGAAGACUGGCCUUCGGAAUGGUUGUACAUAGAGGACACUCCGGUGCCGAACCCUGUUUGGGUCGGCCUCCCGGAGUUCAGCACUGCUCCCUUGAAGAAACGCCUUAGCUGGCGCCCGCGGAGCCCCCAACUGGAGGAAGACAAGAGCAUCCAUUAUCUGAUGGGUCGAAUAAUAUUAUUGGCCCACUCCGGGUUGACCAUGAUAGGAGUCAUGGCAACAUGCAUUACGCGGGGGGUGCAGCCACUGCAGUACAGGGGCCACCCCAUGUGGGAUUUCAACGGGGAAGAUGAUGCCACCCGUCACGGCCGCAAAGGACCGGAUUCGGACGAGGAUCUGGUGCAGAUCCUAUCCGGCCUGUACAAGGGGGAGAAGGAGGACUUCCUUCAGACGAACCCCUUGAAUGGGUUCUCCAUGAGUAACCCUCUGUGUUGGGUAAGCGAGCACCUUUAAGGGCCCGACCCAUGUUUUCAAAGUUUAAGCUUCUCAUACUAUGUCUUCGGCGCAGGAACUGCGCCGGACUGUGGAGGACAUGAUAAGUCCAGCUCCGCAACCCGAGGAUCCGGAGAGAUCCCGGGAUACGGCCUCCGAAGAGGAUCCGGACAUAAAGGUGGAGCUAAUCGACGGGGUGUUCCACCAGCUCAGCAUGGAUAAUGCUUUAGUCGCCAUUACGGCCGACUACCCCGGACUAUAUCCGGCUUCCCAGGUGAUUGUGACCGAAGUCCUGACACCAUUGUUCCUUCCUUGUUUAUUUCUGACCAUCGUAUAUGAUGGCGCUGUACAGGAGGCGCCUUCAGGGCGGCAAGCCGAGCCUGCGGUGGCUGACCAACAAAGGCCAGUCCGGACCAGUAGGCGGAAGAGGAGCGCGCCGCGGACCGAAACGUCGCCGCAAAGGUAUAGCCCACAAUCCAUUACUUGGAUCAACGUUCCUAGGAAGCGUUUGAGUGCUCAUGACUUGUGUAGGAGAAAAAGCGCCCGCCGGACUGCGGGCGUGGAGGUUGCCAAUCCAACCUCUACCAUCCAGGCUCCAGCACCUGGUCUGGAGGGGGAUGCAAGCGCAAGGCGCGAGCCGGACACUCCUCCGACGGAGGAUGCCGACAGACUAUCCGCCACCAAGUCUGAGGUGGAGAGCGCCAUGAACCAUAGGCGCCGCCGGACAGUGUUUCGUGACGCGUGCUUCUCCCCUGAGGCAUUGAAUGCCUUUAACGCGGGGGACGUGCACCUCCGUGCUGCUCAAGAUGGCUUUACCAGAGCCACGGAGCAAUAUGUAAGAGACAUACGGGUAAGAGAAUUUAAUAGUUAUAUAUGCCAGUAGCCCCCGAGACUUAAAGUAGUUAUGUUAACUGAUUUAAGGAUCAUUGGAAACACAGGAUCUUACUGAGAAGAAUACCCAGCUGUCUCACGAGCUGCAAGAGUGCAAGACCCAACUUGAGGCCGCACUUGCUGCCGCAGGAGGAAACGCAGAGACCCCUCCUGGUAACACAUUUUUAUUGAUAAAUAUGAGCGCUGUGCGGCGUGCGCGCAAGUCUAAUAAUGACAUUGCAGGUGCCACCGGACAAGAUCCAGACAUGCAAGAAUUACUGUGCCAGCUGAAGGCGGCGAGAGGGUGUUGAAUAGGGUGCAGCAAGAGAGGAACAAGCUCCAGGAUGCCAACGCCAACCUCGGAGAAGAGCUGAAAGGCGCUCGGGCCGGGCUGUCCGGCUCCGUUAAGGAGAAUCAGCGGCUUCGUCGCGGCAUCUAUAGUAAGUGCUUGAGCGGACUCCUUUGAAAAGAAGAGUUCGGCGAGGAAGUAAAUUGACAUAAUAUGUCUUGUAGGCAUACUCACAGGUCGCCCUGCGGAGGAGAUGCCCAUAUCAACGGGUGAUCAACUUCCCGAGCUGUUGCAGCUGCUCGAACAAGUUCGGCAGGCAAUGAGCAGCGUCGUCCAGGCUUUAUGGCCAGCCCUCUCCCUACCCGAGGGCCUUGGGGAGCUUGCAGAGAAGCUUCAGGGAGUGCGGCAGUGCUUCCGUUUGUGGAAGAUUUCGGCCUGCCACCAAGGUGCCAGGGAGGCUUGGGCCAUGGUGAAGACGCGUUACAAGAAGGCGGAUCCCAACCACAUGGCCGAGGUCGGACCUAUGGGGCCCGAUGGGGAGGAGAUCCCUGUGAGUUUAGUAUACGGCCAAGUAGAGUUGGCCGCUAAAUUUUCCCAACGGGACUGUAAAUUAGACAACCUGUUAGAUGGGAUUGAGGAGGAAUACAGUCAGUAGAUUUGACAAUGUAUUUUUAAAAUGACAUGUGAAAUGCCUUCUAGCCGGAUUGUAGAUUGUUUGUCUUUGCCGACCUUUCCGCUUCUACCUCGGGACCCUAGAGUCCGGAGUGUGUCCGAAUACCUUCUUGGUUAAGAAACAACCGGGGUAUGCAUGGAGACCAGGCGUAGGGGUCAUUAGUGCUUUAUCAGACAAGUGCCCAACUAGUUAUGUUAUAUUACAUGGUUAGUAAGAAACAUCUUCCAGGGAGAAUAGUUCUGUUAAUGGUUCCUUUCCUUGGGAGGCAUACCCUAAAGUGCAUGCCCGAACUGCGAAAAAAGCAGAAAAACAUCUGGGGGCAGAUAAAUAAGUAGGUAAAAAAUCAUCUUUCAAGUCACCGACCGAGUAUUCCCUUAAGAACGCUAGCUUUCGGCUUCACCCAGUCUGAGGUACACAUCCGGCUGACCUGGCAGUAACAAUCGCAGAGGUGCUCCCUUUACCUCCUAGCCGAACAAUCGAGAACGUAGGGGUAAGCACAGGAGCCAGGCAACCCAGCUUGGCCAAAACUUAAGUCAUAUCGAUGCAUAUAAUUGUGAGUAAAAGGUACAUGUGGAAGCUUGACACAUGUGCUGGGCAUGAAGCCCUUAUAAUUGAGCUUCUGGAAAAGAAGCCCCCACAUAUAAUGAGUGCGGAUGGCACAUCAAGUGUAUGCGAACAAUGCGCAAGUAGGCCCUUAAGGGCUUUUUAGUGAAAGGGUUAAGAGAAGAAAGAGAAACAAAAGACAGAUGAAGUGUAAAAAUUUGACCGGGGGAAGGGGACGAACUCCUAGUUCGGCGCUAGGCAUAGAAUUUUCGGUUGCGGGCUGCGUUCCAUGGGUUCGGCUCGAGUCGGUUGUCCGACGCAUUUCGUAGACGGUACGCUCCGCCGGUCAGGACUUGAUCGAUAAUGAAGGGGCCCUCCCAUUUGGGCUUGAGCUUGUCCUUUUUCUUGUCCGGCAGGCGUAGAACUAGUUCGCCAACGUUGUAAGUCUUGGCCCGUACUUCUCUGCUUUGAUAUCUUCGAGCCUGCUGCUGAUAGAAUGCGGAACGAGCCUUGGCGAUGUCGCGUUCUUCCUCCAAUGCGUCCAAGCUGUCCUGCCGAUCCAGCUCGGCCUCUCUUUCUUCAUACAUGCGCACUCGAGGUGAGUCAUGAAUAAUGUCGCAGGGAAGAACUGCCUCUGCGCCGUAUACCAUAAAAAAUGGUGUGAAUCCGGUAGUACGGUUGGGCGUUGUCCGCAGCCCCCAGAGCACGGAGUCGAGCUCCUCUACCCAGUGCGUGUCAGAUUUAGUAAGUGACCGCACUAGUCUGGGUUUAAUGCGGCUCAUUAUUAGACCAUUUGCUCGUUCCACUUGACUGUUGGUUUGAGGAUGAUAGACUGAAGCGUAGUCGAGCUUAAUGCCCAUGUUUUUGCACCAUGACUUAACCUCGUCGGCCGUGAAAUUCGUGCCAUUAUCAGUGAUGAUGCUGUGGGGGACACCAUAAUGGUGUACUACCCCGGAUAUAAAGUCUAACACUGGUCCGGACUCUGCCGUUUUGACUGGUUUGGCCUCUAUCCAUUUGGUGAACUUGUCCACCAUGACCAAUAGGUACCUUUGCUUGUGGGUUCCCCCUUUAAGGGGUCCAACCAUGUCAAGCCCCCAGACCGUGAACGGCCAGGUAAUGGGUAUAGUUUUGAGGGCGGUGGGUGGCAUAUGGCUCUGAUUAGCAAAGAGCCGACAACCGACGCAUCUUUGGACUAAGUCCUGAGCAUCUGCCCGGGCCGUCGGCCAAUAAAAUCCUGUACGGAAUGCCUUUCCUACAAGGGACCGAGCUGCGGCGUGGUGUCCGCCUAGUCCGGCAUGAAUUUCAGCCAGGAGGUUUCGCCCUUCCUCUUCGGAGAUACACCUUUCAAGGACUCCGGUUGUGCUUAUCUUAUAAAGUUCUCCCUCAUGGACCUUGUAGGCUUUAGAUCGCCGGACUAUGCAGCGGGCCUCAUUUUGGUCUUCGGGAAGUUCCUGCCGAAGCAAGUAGGCUAGGAAUGGUUCUGUCCUCAGGGCGAUAACUGCCAUUAUGUCGUGGGCUGAAGGUGUUGUGUCAUCGGCUGGAUCGCCGGUUGGCGCAGUUUUUUCUGGUUUGUCGUUUCCGGACUCUUCUUCCCAUAGUACGGAUGGCUUGAAGAGCCGUUCCAGGAAGAUGUUUGGAGGGACAACGUCACGUUUUGCGCCAAUGCGUGCCAAUACGUCGACUGCUUGGUUAUUAUCUCGGGCUACGUGAUGGAAUUCGAGUCCUUCAAACCGAGCUAACAUUUUUAGGACCGCGUUGCGAUAUGCUGCCAUUUUCGGAUCCUUGGCGUCAAAAUCUCCAUUUAUUUGGGAUAUUGCAAGGUUUGAAUCCCCGCGCACCUCUAGGCGUUGAAUGCCCAUGGAGAUUGCCAUCCGGAGACCAUGUAAAAGGGCCUCGUAUUUGGCUGCGUUGUUGGAGUCCGUGUACAUUAUUUGAAGUACGUAUUGGACUGUGUCCCCGGUCGGGGACAUCAAUAUGACGCCAGCCCCCAGUGCGGCCAACAUUUUAGAGCCGUCGAAGUGCAUAAUCCAAUUGGAGUAUGCGCCGUACUCUUUGGGUAGUUCGGCUUCUGUCCAUUCAGCGACAAAGUCAGCCAAAACUUGUGACUUUAUAGCUCGCUAAGGUUUGUAAGUUAUAUCGAAUGGUAAGAGCUCAAUGGCCCAUUUUGCAAUCCUGCCCGUUGCGUCGCGGUUAUUUAUAAUGUCAUUGAGUGGUACUUCGGAGGCCACUAUUAUCGAACACUCUUGAAAGUAGUGUCGGAGCUUCCGGGAUGCCAUGAACACUGCAUACGCUAUCUUCUGAUAGUGCGGGUAGCGGGACUUGCAGGGGGUUAACACAGUGGAUACGUAAUACACUGGUUUUUGAAGAGGGAAUUUAUGCCCUUCUGUCUCUCGUUCGACGACGAGUACCACGCUUACAACUUGAUGUGUUGCGGCGAUGUAUAAUAACAUUGGUUCGCCCAGGUUGGGCGGAGCCAGGACCGGAUUUGUUGCCAAUAUGGCUUUUAUUUCUUCGAGUCCGGCAGUGGCAGCCUCCGUCCAGUCGAAGUGUUCGGUGUGCCUAAGGAGGCGAUAGAGGGGCAAUGCCUUUUCUCCUAGACGGGAGAUAAAGCGGCUUAGAGCCGCCACACAUCCAGUCAAUUUUUGUAUUUGCUUGAGGUCUUUUGGGAUAUCUAGCUAUGACAGAGCUCGGAUUUUGGCUGGGUUUGCUUCAAUUCCUCUACUGGAUACAAUAAAGCCCAGUAGCUUUCCGGCCGGUACGCCGAAAACGCAUUUUUCUGGAUUCAGCUUGAUGUCAUAUGCUCUGAGGUUGUCGAAUGUGAGCCUCAAGUCAUCUACUAGAGUUUCGACGUGUUUGGUUUUGACGACUACGUCGUCUACGUAUGCCUCUACUGUUUUGCCGAUCUGGGUGGCCAGACAUGUUUGAAUCAUGCGCUGAUAUGUUGCGCCAGCAUUUUUAAGUCCAAAGGGCAUCGUAUUGAAGCAAAAUGGUCCAUAUGGAGUGAUGAAUGCCAUUGCGGCUUGGUCUGCUUCCGUCAUCUCAAUUUGAUGGUAUCCGGAGUAUGCGUCGAGGAAGCACAAUGAAUCGUGUCCUGCAGUAGCAUCGAUUAUCUGGUCGAUGCGGGGGAGGGGGAAGGGAUCCUUUGGGCAAGCCUUAUUGAGGUCUUUAAAAUCGACGCAUAGGCGCCAGUAUUUAUCCUUCUUUGGUACCAUUACCAGGUUUGCUAGCCAAUCCGGAUGUUUGAUAUCUCUGAUGAAUCCGGCCUCCAACAGUUUGGCUAGCUCUUCUCCCAUUGCCUGUCUUUUGGGUUCGGAAAAUCGUCGAAGAGCCUGUUUGACUGGCUUGAAUCCUUUUAGGAUGUUUAGGCUGUGUUCUGCUAAUCUGCGUGGGAUUCCGAGCAUAUCUGAGGGGUGCCAGGCGAAAAUGUCCCAAUUUUCCCGAAGGAAUUCUCGCAGUGCGGCGUCUACAUCAGGGUUCAAUUGUGCCCCGAUGGAGGCCGUCUUUGUUGGGUCCGUAGGAUGGACCUGGAAUUUUACUAUUUCGUCCGUUGGUUUAAAGGAGGUGGACUUGGAUCUCUUAUCGAGUAUCACAUCGUCCCUAUUCACCGUAGAGCGCAGCGCGGUGAGUUCUUCUGCCGCUAGGGCUUCGGAUAGUGCCUCCAGGGCUAAUGCGGCUGUCUUGUUUUUGGCGCGUAAUGCUAUGUCCGGAUCACUAACGAGAGUGAUUAUUCCGCCGGGCCCAGGCAUUUGGAGCUUCGUGUACCCGUAAUGGGGUACGGCUUGAAAAAUUGUGAAUGCCUCUCGUCCUAGUAUAGCGUGAUAUCCGCUGUUGAACGGGGCCACUUGGAACGUGACUUCUUCGGAUCGGUAAUUGUCCGGCGAGCCGAACACCACAUCGAGUGUAAUUUGUCCGGUGCAGCGUACUUCCCGGCUGGGUAUUAUUCCUCUGAAGGUUGUGCUGCUUCGCUCAAUACGGCUCCAAUCUAUUUCCAUUUUUUGAAGAGUUUCCUCGUAGAUGAGGUUUAGUCCGCUGCCGCCAUCCAUGAGGACCUUUGUAAGUCAAAAGCCGUCCACUAUAGGACUAAGGACCAGUGCGGCUGGUGCUCGGGCUAUUCGGAAUUUAGGUUCGUCGCUGGCGUUGAAAGUGAUGGCCGUGUCGCUCCAUGGAUUUGUUAUUGCUACCUGGUAGACUUUGGCGAGGCUGUGGAUUGUUCGUUUCCGCAUAUUAUUUGAUGCGAAGGUCUCGAAGACUGUUGAUACCGUACCGGUAUUGUUGGAGUGGUUUUUCGGGGCUAGAAGCUCCUCGCCACUUUUGUCCACCUGCCGUAAUAUCCAACAUGCUCGGAGGCUAUGUGUUGGGACAGCGCCCUCUGCACUGUGAAGUUUACAGGGUCCGCUGAGCCAUCCCUCCAGUACGGAUCCGUGCCCUCUAUGGGGUUUUUGCUUUUUUGUUUUUGUAUCUGGUGCCUGAGUGUAAUGCACCCUUUUGUUGCGGACUAGGGUUGGGAUCGGAUUGUCCCAAAAAUUAUUUUCGGUUUUCUGGAAACUCUCCAUCGCACAAUACUUUCAUACUAUGGACGCCAGGUCGGCGAAUCGUGUAAUUUUACGACGGCUGACGGCGUUCAAGAUUCCCUUAUUCGUGCAAUUAUUGCAAAAAAUUGAGAUUGCGUUAUCCUCUCGGCAGUCCUUUAUCCCGUCCAUAACCAGGAGGAAUCUGGCCCAGUAGUGAUGUACCGUUUCAGCGGGCUCUUGCCAGAUUAGAGAUAGAUCGCAUAUGUCUGGGCGGGUGGGUGGAAUUAAGUCCGGAACCCUACCCAUCUCAAGUCUUAAAGGCCAGGAAGUUUACAAAUUCGGGAGCUUGGAUUGCUGGACGUGGUCCAGCGAGUCCGGGGCGAUGCACGAUUUUAAGUUUAGUGCUCGAUCAAAGUCCGUCCCUCCACGGAAAUCGGGCUUGGAGGGUUCGGGAACCCGGACAUGACUAGUUUUCGAUAUAGGAGAAGAGUCGCCACAUUGUUCCUCUACCACUGCAACGUGGUGGGUGGCCUGGGGAGAGUUAAUCUCUCUCAGAUCGGUUUUAAGCCCAAUCUGAUUGUAGUCUGUAGAGACUCCCAGGGCGGCGAUGCGAUCCAAGAGCUCAUUGACAGAUGAGAGCUCUAUCGGAUCCAGCUGCUCGGCAGAUUCCGAGCUGACGCGAAGAUUGCUUUUGACAACUUGAGAAGUCAUUGUCGAAGCAGUGGCCGGACAGGCGGCCAUAAGAAAACCACCUAGCCGGAUAGUUUGGCCGGAGGCCAAGGCCCCUUUGGCGAAAAUACCGUCCUUGAAGACGGGUGGAGGCAUCCUUCCUAUUGGCGACGACACAGAGGAACUCUCAAUGAAAGCACCAAUGUCGGUGUCAAAACCGGCGGAUCUCGGGUAGGGGGUCCCGAACUGUGCGUCUAGGCGGAUGGUAACAGGAGACAGGGGACACGAUGUUUUACCUAGGUUCGGGCCCUCUUGAUGGAGGUAAAACCCUACGUCCUGCUUAAUUAAUAUUGAUGAUGUGUAUUACAAGAGUGGUUCUACCACGAGAUCAAGGAGGCUAAACCCUAGAAGCUAGCCUAUGGUAUGAUUGUUGUAAUGGAGGUUAUGUCCUACGGACUAAAGCCCUCCAGUUUAUAUAGACACCGGAGAGGGCUAGGGUUACAUAGAGUCGGUUACAAUGGUAGGAGAUCUACAUAUCCGUAUUGCCAAGCUUGCCUUCCACGCCAAGGAAAGUCCCAUCCGGACACGGGACGGAGUCUUCAAUCUUGUAUCUUCGUAGUCUUGGAGUCCGGCGGACGAUGAUAGUCCGGCUGUCCAGACACCCCCUAGUCCAGGACCCCCUCACUCGUCUCCGUUGAGUACCCGCGCCCGACCUCCUUCCCCUGCGUGACUCCUUCCACCGCGACCAAGAUCGCUGCCUCCCCGUCGACCUUCCUCUCCUGCUUCGCCUCGCCCGCGCCUCCUUCUACCGGCCAUCCCCAUGGCCUCGAGAUCCUGCGCCGACAUCCUCCUUCAUCAGCUGCUCACGAGCACCUCCUUCCCCAUGGUGCUGCGACCCCGUCACUGUUCCCGCUAAUGAGUGUCGCUCGAAGCCAGCGCCUUGUCUUUGUUUGGAACCAGGGGCCGACGCCCCCAUCGCCCGUCAUCUUCGGGUCAAGAUGCCGUUGUUGCUUCCUUCGACUGAUGCUGCUGCCUCUUUGCUAAUGCCAUCGCUGAGCUACCCCAGGACCCGUGGAGUCAUGCACGGAAAAAACCAAGUCCGAAGACUACCGUGGCCGUGUAUCUCGCCCAGUACCACUACGGUUCGUCGAGACCGCCAAGUUCGACUACACGGUGACGCAUCAAGUACCUCUACCGCGGCUACGGGAUCGCCAAGAACGCGUACCUCGACGACCCGCCAAGUACCCCUUCGAAUCGUCAAGUUCAUCUACCACGUGUACCACUACCGUCACAAGAAUCGAGACCGACAAGUCCGAAGACCCCAAGUACCACGACGAACAAUGAAUAGUACCACUACCUCCUCUACUGUCGACCCCGUGGACAUCAAGUUCCUCGUCGUGACGCCGAUCAUCUAUGGAAUGCGUACGACUACAAAUACGUGAACCACUACUUCCACGACAUAACGUGUACGACUACUUCCCCUACGACCCAUGAACGACUACUUCCCUCGAUGAUUUUGAACCGCCCCGAAAUGCACGCUUCAAAGGUAUAACUCCGAGACGAUCAACCGUGGACCAAAUGCAUGUGUUGUAUGAGAUGCUCGUGUUUGCACCGUGUCCGAGAGAGGUCUUUGCACGUUCCUCGUUUGCCAUGCCGUCGACCCAUGGGAACCCGGUAGUCGGGAGCACCCCACCAUCUCUUGCGUGUUCUACACAUCCGCACACUUCUCGUUUGCAUCGGUAUCUCAAUCAAGUUAUCAAGAUCGAUAUGUUGCCGUGGCAUCAUUUUUGAAUUCGUUGCAGUGGCACCCCUUUCGUUCCGCCACGGUGAAAAAUGCUUCAUAACAUGCUCAUGUCAACAUUUUCAUAAAAAUUGCAUAAUACUUCCAUAUGUCAUCCGCAUCAUGAUAACAACAAUUAAAAUGUUUAAAAUUGUUGUUGCAUUAAAUUGCUAAAUAACAUGUGGAUUUUCCGGAAGUGUUGUUUGUCCUCCGGCCUCAUUUAAAUUUGCCUAAAUAGGUAGUUUACUUAUGUUUCACCUCUUGCCAUGUUUAUAACCACAUGUAAUAUUGUUGUGUUCCUAAACAAGAGAGAACUAAAUAAUUGAUGUGGUGUUUCGUUAAUAUGCAACUCGUUGCAUAUUGAGCUCUACUUAACUUGUAGUGUUGUUUGUGCAUAUUGCCAUGCCAUGCCUCAUUAAACCGGACAUGCAUCAUACUUGAUUGUGCAUCAGGCCAUGAUUAUGCUUGUGUGUUUACCAUGUUGUUUGCUUCUUUCCGGUUUGCUUCUCUCGUUAGCUUCGGUUUUGUUCCGGAGUUGUGAGGAUUCGUUCGACUAUGUUCGUUUGUCUUCUUCAUGGACUCAUUCUUCUUCCUUGCGGGAUCUCAGGCAAGGUGACCAUUACCCUCGAUAUCACUUCUAUCUUUGCUUGCUAGUUGCUUCGUUCUAUCACUUGUUUACCAUGCCUCCCAUAUUGCCAUGUCAGCCUCUAACAUUUUCACCCUUCCUAGCAAACCAUUGAUUGGUUAUGUUACCGCUUUGCUCAGCCCCUCUUAUAGCAUUGUUAGUUGAAGGUGAAGUUGAAGAUUGCUCCAUGAUGGACAGGAUUAUGUUGGGAUAUCACAAUAUCUCUUAUUUAAUUAAUGCAUCUAUAUACUUGGUAAAGGGUGGAAGGCUCGGCCUUAAGCCUGGUGUUUUGUUCCACUCUUGCCGCCCUAGUUUCCGUCAUACUGGUGUUAUGUUCCCGGAUUUUGCUUUGCUUACGCGGUCGGGUGAUUUAUGGGACCCCCUUGACAGUUUGCUUUGAAUAAAACUCCUCCAGCAAGGCCCAACCUUGGUUUUACCAUUUGCCUACCUAAGCCUUUUUCCCUUGGGUUCUGCAGACUCAAGGGUCAUCUUUAUUUUACCCCCCUGGGCCAGUGCUCCUCCGGGUGCUGGUCCAAACCGAGCGAUGUCUAGCGCCCCCUGGGCAACCAGGGUCUAUGCCAACCCGACGUCUGGCUCAUCUAGUGUGCCCUGAGAAUGAGAUACGUGCGACUCCUAUCGGGAUUUGUUGGCACAUCGGGCGGCUUUGCUGGUCUUGUUUUACCAUUGUCAAAAUGUCUUGUAAACCGGGAUUCCGAGACUGAUCGGGUCUUCCUGGGAGAAGGUAUAUCCUUCGUUGAUCGCGAGAGCUUAUCAUGGGCUAAGUUGGGACACCCCUGUAGGGUUAUAAACUUUCGAGAGCUGUGCCCACGGUUAUGUGGCAGAUGGGACUUUGUUAAUGUCCGGUUGUAGAUAACUUGACACUUGACCUAAUUAAAAUGCAUCAACCGCGUGUGUAGCCGUGAUGGUCUCUUCUCGGCGGAGUCUGGGAAGUGAACACGGUCUUGGUGUUAUGAUUGUGCGUAAGCAGUUUCAGGAUCACUUCUUGAUCACUUCUAGCUUCACGACCGUUCCGUUGCUUCUCUUCUCGCUCUUAUUAGCGUAUGUUAGCCACCAUAUUUGCUUAGUGCUUGCUGCAGAUCCACCUCAUUACCCUUUUCCUACCCAUAAGCUUAAAUAGUCUUGAUCUCGCGGGUUUUGAGAUUGCUGAGUCCUCGUGACUCACCAGAUACUAUCACAACAGUUGCAGGUGCCGAUGAUACCAGUGCAGAUGAUGCAACCGAGCUCAGAUGGGAGCUCAACGAAGAUCUUGGUCAUUGCUAUGUUUCGUUUCAUGUUGAUCAGUAGUGGAGCCCAGUUGGGACGAUCGGGGAUCUAGCAGUUGGGUUAUCUACUUUUCUUUUGGCUUCGUCCGUAGUCGGACUAUGUGUGUGCUCUGAAUGAUGUAUGAAUUAUAUGUUCAUUGUGUGAAGUUGCAAUUGUAAGCCAAUUCUUUAUCCCAGUCUUGUUCAUUACAUGGGAUUGUGUGAAGAUGACCCUUCUUGCGACAAAACCACAAUGCGGUUAUGCCUCUAAGUCGUGUUUCGACACGUGGGAGAUAUAGCCGCAUCGUGGGCGUUACAAGUUGGUAAUCAGAGCCAUCCCCGACUUAGGAGCCCCCUGCUUGAUCGAAUCGCUGGCGUUGUUGAGUCUAGAACAAAAAUGUUUUGAGUCUUAGGAUUAUAUAUAACGGAGAGUAGGAUUCUUUUUACUCCUCAGUCCCUUCGUCGCUCUAGUGAGGUCUCCUGACGUAGAUGUUUUGACUUUCCUCUCCUCAAAUUUCACUAAAAAAAAUUUAGGAUCACGCGUGUAUCUUGGGAUCGUUUAGAUAUUCUUAUGACAAGAACAUUGUUCUUGGUGCCUCCUGACAUUUAGGGGUUGUGGCAGUGCCCCGGGGAGUUGAGCUCCAAGGUGUUGUCGUCAUAAUUUUAUCGUUGCAAUUCUUGAAUACCUGAGUUUUGCCAACAUCAAAAAUCUCUUUUAUGCAGUUGUUGGUGAGAUAACCUCGACGUCACCCAGUACUGGGGAGUUCAGGAGUAUUGCCAUAGCUUGUAUAACGGAUGCUUUUCGAAGGUUGAGGUACACGAUUUCCGAAGGUUUCUUGGUUAUGUGUUGACGGAUGGAUACAGCUUGGAUGCAGGGAUUGUUAGUUUUGGGUGAGAUAUAUAUUGCUUCCCCUGUAUCCCCAACACCAGAUUGCAUAACCAGAAAGUUUCGGGAGUUUUAUAGGUGGGAAUUGAAGUAGCUCUAGUUUUUUUCUUUUCGACAGAUGCAUGAUAUGAGAUUGGGGUUCGACGUCUAGUGGUCCGCCUAUCCACGGUCGUUUUUUACAGUGGUCUCGUUGUGUCUUAAAGAACCCUUGGCUAUGCUGGUUCGGGGACACUUCGUAUGUCAUGUGCACUGCCUUCUACAUGAUGGUGUUGUACGAUCGAGCCCGUGUGGGCCCCAGCACGAAAACUUCGGACGAAAUCUCUAUCAUAUGUUUGUUCCGGCUUAUUCUGCAAGCCAAAUCCUUUGUAUUGUUUUAUUUGUGGUAUUCGAGUUGCUUCGAAGUCAAAUGUUGAAUCCAUACUUUUCCAAAAUGGUGUUCUCAUAUUUCUAUGGGAGUGCUAAUCCUUCUUGAUCAUUGAGGUUGUCAUGUUAAUUCUUUUCCCAACUGGCGUGCUUCUCUCCAGGCUAAUACUAUCAUUUUUUCCAUUCGUGAGAUCAAUUCUAAGUUUUCUCAACGGUAUCCAUUCCAUCUGCCCAAGUUGCCUUUGUUUUCCCGCCCUCCCACCCUUUUCUUUGAGGACUCAGAUUUCUUAAUCAAGUAUCCUUUUAUUGAUGGGAAGACUCUCCAUUCUUUUCCAUCAAUGUUCUGAUCCGGUGAUUCUCAGGAAGAUACUAACGGAGCUUCAAGUUCAGCAUCCUCUGUUCUCUUUUCUUCUUCGGUGGAUCCAAUUCAAGCUUUCAGUGUCUGAUCAUAUUCCUUUCCUCGUAUCAAAUGCUUUCUCAUGCCGGUGGACCUCUCAAUCACUCACCUCUUGCUAUUCAUUUGUUCCAGAGUGUUGAAGAUAUCUCAGAAGAUUUGUGUCUCCACUAUCAAACCGUUCAAGCUAUUUGGAGAUUAUUAUCUCAUAUGAAGUCAUUUAAUUCAACUGGUGCAAUUCCCCCCUUUCAAUCAAUCGUUCAAUGGUGUAACUUUGAGUGGGCCCUAACACACAGGUCUUUUCUAGGAUCUUACCUGACUCUUCUAAUUCUUUCUGGAGUUAUUCUCAAAUUCAUUGCAAAGUUUGACGAAAGAAUGAAUUUUAAUCAGUCACAUGCCUUCUCCAAGAUCGUUUUCAAAUUCUUUUCAUCUUUGGCUCAACCUUUUUUCUUUUAAUACUUCCGGGGUGUCUCAACAAUUCAUGGUGGUGUUUCUAGUCGUCAUUCUCGAAUUUUGAAGACUGAAGAAGAGUUCCUCUUAAAUCCUUACCCGUUCAUCCAGAGAUUCAUGGUUCUAGCGUUAUGCCAUCCUCUCAUAAUUGCUUUCGAUUGUGAGAAUUCUUUCCAUCCAUCCGGAGCAAUUCAGGAGUCUUUUCAGUUUCAUUCUCCGGAGCCAAUCAUCUCAGAAUUAUUCAUUCUCAGCUUUCAGCUCUCGUUCUCAAAUUCUUCCGGUGCAUCGUUCAAAUACCCUCUAAUAAGUUCAUGAUCUCUUCGUUCUCAUGUGUCUAAAUCCCCUCAAGUAUCUUCAUUCAUCUUCCAACUCUUCCCGGUGAAUUGUGCCUUUGCUACUUUCAUUUUCAGUUCUUACGGUGCUUUGUUCAAGAUUCCUCUUCCUAUGUUCUCAUAUUAAUUUAUUCGUUGUUUCCAAAUCUCACCGGUGGUUCCAUUAAUACCUUCUCAAGUUUGCGCUAUAUCUCUCUUAAUCCUUUCUACUAGAAUAAGUAGUAUGCCAAAUCUGUUGCUUGUCAUCAAUUUAAAUUGGUGAAGGAUACGCAUAACAUAAUUCUUAUUGUUGUUUCAUCCAAGUGAUUAAUCCUUUCCAUCGGAGUUUGUUCAGGAGGAAUAAAUUCUUGGCUUCUUGUUGUUCAUCUUUCUUCCAGAGUUCUAAGUUUUCCGCAUUAUCUCGUCGCGAAGCUCCAUCUAAAUCAUCGCAAGGCUUCACCUUGUGUUUUCAACUUCUCUUUGUUUUUAUCAUCCAUUUAUUACCGGAGUGGUGGUUCGUCAAGGAUUCUUUUCAUUCUUCAAUUGUUCUUCAAGAUUUAUCUAGAAGUUAAGAUCAUCCAAGCUAUACUAAAAAAUUAAACAUGGUGUUUAACACAUGUCUUGUUUUGAGGAGUUCAAGCAUUCUUCAUCUUGCAUUCCAAAGUGCAAUUCUUUCUACCUUAUCUUGUGAGGUGGUGUUAGGUCAUUCUUGAUAAUUUCCCUUCGCGUUUCAUGAUUCACAAGUUUUCAAGAGUGACAUAUUUAAAUCCAUCAUUUUCUCUUGUUCAAGAGAUCUUUUCAACCGUCAAUCUCUUCAUUUUAGUUAUCUUGGUAUAGAUUUCACCUAAAGCCUUCCCUAAGGAAUGUUGCUAUUUUGGUGCUUAUUAAUGACCCAAGUUAUCUCUUUUCCAUCUUGAUGGAACAAGCUUUCAUCUCUUCGUUAAUCUCAAGCAAGCAAUUGUUUCCGUUAGUGGCCGGUUGUCACCUCAUAAUGUUGAGAUGUUUCCAUAAGCCCACUACAAACUUAUUCUUUUCGUUGUUGGUCUUCCAACAACUCUAUUCUAACCUUCUUGCAAGGAUGCCUUCCAAAUUCAAUUGUGGUAGAAGUUGUCAUUUUCUUCUCCGUCCCUUUAUCCCAACGGUCUAGCUUCUAUUCUUUCGUUCUGGAGGCAUUGUGAUGUUGUGCUCUUCACCCAUCACCUCGUUUUGUCAAGAUCGUGUUCUUUUCGUGCUUAUCCAUUUAACCAGAGUGUUGUGUCAUCUCUUGAAGUUCUUUUCAUCUUACCAAGUUUUGCUCCUCUUGUCAAUCGGAGUGCUGCCGAAUUUUUCUUUCCUUGCUUCUCUUCAACCAAAGUGGGUUCAGAGUCUAUAUUGUUCCUUGGUCUCUUGGUUCUUGUCGUAUUCCCUGUUGCUCUUGUCAAACGGAGUGUUUGCAAUCUCGUUCAUCUCCGUUGUAUUAUUUCUUUCAAUUUGUUCAACCUCUCAAGGUUUGUGGGUUCACUCGUUUGUCAAAGAAGCAACUUAGUUUUACCUCUUCUCUUCCUCUUCCGUUUCUCUCUGGUGCCAUCCUAGAUCUCGGGACGAGAUCCUCUUGUAGUGGUGGAGUGUUGUAACGC